AAAUUUUUUCUAAAUUUUUGAAAAGUUCUUUGAAUACUAUACUAGUUAUAUUGUGUUUUCGGGUAAGGUAGGGUUUAGGGUUAGUAGGGUUUUGGGUUAUGUAGGGUUAAGGUUAGGUAGGGUUUAGGGUUAGCAUGGUUUAGGGUUAAAAAGAGUUUAGGGUUAGUAGGGUUUUGGGUUAGUAGGAUUUAAGGCUAGAAAGGGUUUAGGGUUAGGUAUGUUUUAGGGUUAGAAAGGGUUUAGGGUUUGAAGGGGUUUAGGGUUAGAAAGGGUUUAGGGUUAGGUAGGGUUUAGGGUUAGGUAGGGUUUAGGGUUCGGUAGGGUUUAGGGUUAGGUAGGGUUUAGGGUUAGAAAGGGUUUAGGGUUAGCAUGGUUUAGGGUUAGAAAAGGUUUAGGGUUAGUAGGGUUAAUAGGAUUUAAGGCUAGAAAGGGUUUAGGGUGAGGUAGGAUUUAGGGUUAGGCAAGGUUUAGGGUUAGGUCAUGUUUAGGGUUAGAAGGGGUUUAAAGUUAGGUUAGGUUUUAGGGUUCGGUAAGGUUUAGGGUUAGGUAGGGUUUAGGGUUAGAAAGGGUUUAGGGUUAGUAGGGUUUAAGGUUAGUAGGGUUUAGGGUUAGUAGGGUUUAGGGUUAGAAAGAGUUUAGGGUUAGAAAGGGUUUAGGUUAAGUAGGGUUUAGGUUAGGUAGGGUUUAGGGUUAUGUAGGGUUAGGAUUAGGUAGGGUUUAGGGUUAGUAGGGUUUAGGGUUAGGUAGGGUUUAGGGUAGGUGGGGUUUAGGGUUAGUAGGGUUUAGGUAGGGUUUAGGGUUAGGGUUAGGUAGGUUUUAGGGUUAGGAAGGGUUUAGGGUUAGGUAGGGUUUAGGGUUAAAUAGAGUUUAGGGUUAGGUAGGGUUUACGUUUAGGGUUCGGUAGGUUUACAAUUAGAUAGGUUUAGGGUUUAGGUAGUAUGAAGGGUUUAGGAUUAGGUUUAUGUAGGGUUUAGGGUUAGAUAGGGUUAAGGUCUAGGUUUAUGUAGGGUUUAGGGUUAAGUAGGAUUUAGGAUUUUAGGCAAUAGAAAAGGUUUAGCGUUUGGUUUAGGUUGGGUUUAAGGUUUGAUUUAGAAUAAUGCUUAGAAUUAUAGGGUUUAUGGUUUGUUUGUUUUUUUGUUUAUGCAUUUAGUGUUGAGAUUUUGGGAUAAAAUUUUAUAUUAAUAUUAUUGAUUUAUAGUUUUUCUUAAAAUGUUAAAAAUUUUAAAGUGAUUUUUAAGGUUCUUAAAAUAUGUAUUUUUUUUUUAGGUUUUUUGUGACAAUAAGUUGAAUAUAUCCUAUACCACAAAUCAUAAAUAUUUUGAGUCUUAUAUAUUUUGUUCUUCAAGUUAUUGUUACUUUUAUUUCCUUUUAUACAUUUCUCUUAAUAUUUAUGUAUGCAUCCACAAUAUUUUUUUUAAAUGGAAUUUUCAUUAACUAAUGUAUUUAUUGUAGUUUUAAAUAUAUUAUAGUUUUCGUACACUUGAUUAUAUUUUUUUGGUGUUGGUGGUAUUUGAAGUGGUUGAGAACCUGAAUGGAUAUUUACUUUCAUAAAUUUUUUGGUGUAUGUUUGAAAAUAAAAAAUUGUAAAAGCUUUUAAAUUAUAUGAAUAUAAUAUUCAACAUACUACUGUUGACUGUUUAUAUACUUAAAAUUCUAAAGUAGGUAAUUCCAAAUUUGCUGAACUCAUAGAUUCGUUGCUACUUUAUAAAUUAUCACAGGAUGAUGUACAUAUGGUAAAUAUUGCUUUGAUGAUAAUAUCACGUCUAUAUCGUAAUGUGUAUUUUUUUUGUUUUAUCUACUAUGUAUUAAGAAGUAAUUAACACAUUCAAUAAUACUACUAAAGAGUAAAAAGCCUUUCAAUUGUUCAUAGUAUAAGCCCAAAGUUAAACUCAAGUCUAUCCAAAGAAAUAAAACUCAGAGACACGUGUUGGUCUGUCAGAGAGUGACUUUCCAUGUGGAUAACUUAGGAGAGAGGCAAACAUAAUAUUUUUUCAUAUAACAAUACAAUAUAUAUAUAUAUAUAAAUUAUCUUUUUUAAUUAUAAUUUUUAGAUUUUGGAUAAUUCAAUAUUCUAUUUUUAAUUAUAUAAUUAAUCAUUUUAUUUAAUUAAUAUUUAGUUAUAAAAAUUAUGUUUUAAACUUUUUACUUACAGAAUUUUUCAGAUAACAAUACAAUAUAUACAGAAGUUAUAUCUUUUUUAAAUUAUAUUUUCAGAUUUUGGAUAAUUCUUACUGUUCUUAAUAUUAAUCAAUUAUCUAAUCAAAAUCAAUUAAAAUUUCGUUCUUAUUUUUUAAUUUAUUUAUACAUUUUAUUCAUUAAGGGUUAAACUAUAUUAACCACUCUAACUUUCAACGUGAGAACUUCAUUGCGAAAAUUUACUUCGCAAAUAAUAGUUUAAAAUUAUAUAAUUAAAAAAAUUGUUUGAUUGAUAUUUAAUUAUAUAAUUUAUGUUUUUAACGUUUUACUAAAAUACUUUUUCAGAUAACAAUACAAUAUAUAUAUAUAAAUUAUCUUUUUAAAUUAUAUUUUUAGAUUUUGGAUAAUUCAAUAUUCUAUUUUUAAUUAUAAUUAAUAAUUUUAUUUAAUUAAUAUUUAGUUAUAGAAUUUAUGUUUUUAACUUUUUACUUAAAGACUUUUUCAGAUAACAAUACAAUAUAUACAUAAGUUAUCUCUUUUUUAAAUUAUAUUUUCAGAUUUUGGAUAAUUCUUAACAUUAUAAUUAAUUAAUAAUUAAUAAAUACUUUUUCAUAAAAAUUAAAAUUAUCAUAAAAUAUUUUGUACAUUAGAUAUCAUUUAAACACUAAUGUGAAAUAUUUCAAUUUGUGUUUCAUAUCUGUAAUUAAAUUUAUAUAUUUUAUAAAUAAUAUAUUUAAUUUUAAAACUUAGUUAUUAGUUUCUAUAAAUAAAAAAAUUGAAUUAUUUUAAUAAUUAUUAGUCACAUUAAAAAUAAAAAUUUAUAAAAACAUAAUAUGUUUUAUUAAUAAAGUAUAUUGUAUAAUCCUGAAAUAUAAAAAUUGCCAUUCAACUUUAAGAAAAUAUAAAUAAUUUAUAUAAGAAAAUUUAUAAUUAUUUUCAAAAUUCUAUGUAUUUAAUUUUUGUAUAAUUUAUAAUAUUUAUAUAAGAAAAAACUAUUGCUUUUGAAGUUUUUAAAAAACUAAAAUAAUUUAUAUAAGAAAAUUUUCUAAGUAUUUUUGAAAUUUAAUAUUUUUAUUUUUGCAUAAUUUAUAUAUAUUUUAUGAUUUAUAUUUACUAUAAUAUAUUUUUAAUAAAAAUAUAAUAACUAAAAUAUGUUAUCGUAUUUAAUUUUAAAAUAAUAAUUACAGUAUUUUGAUAAAUUUUAAUUAUAAAAUCUAAAUAUUUAUUGCUAUUUUGCUGUAUUAUUUUAACGUAAUAUAUUAAUUAAUUUUUGAAAAUAGAAAAUACAGCAAAACCAAAAUCAAAAUCUAAAAACCAAAAACCAAAAACUAAAAUCUGAAAACCAAAAACCAAAAACCAAAAACCAAAACUGAAAACUACCAAAACAAUCAGCACCUAAAUAUUUUGGAAAUAUAUGCAAAUCUUAUUUAUUUUCAUAUAUGAUUAAAAUCGUUUUUUUUUUUCAUAUAAAAAUGGAACUAUUUUUUUUUUAAUGGUUAUCUUUUGUUUAAACUACAUAUUUCAAUUUAUGCAUUAAAACCAUUUACUUUGGAAUAUAACAACUAAAAACUAUUACAUUAGAUGAUAUAUAGCUAGAAUUGCAACGAGUCUUACAAACACACUUACAUUAAACCAAACUAAAAACCAUUACCAUUCAACACAAUUAAAACUAACAAACUUUGAUGAAUAAGUCUUAACUUAAGAAACAGCCUCAAAGGUUUGGUGAAUAACUUGUUUAGAUUAAGAAGAAGCUACAGUAUUUCAUUCUGGUAACAAUAAUAAACGUUGGUUGUGUUUGGAAUGAUGAUGUUCUGCAAGAAUGAUGGAGGAACAAGCAAACCAAGUGGUGAUUAUCAUCACACUCGCAUCAACUCAGCCAUGGAAGCAGAUAACUAGAGAGUGAGACGGUCCUAUUAAGCUUGAUAUAUCGAUUCAUAAAUCUCAUCCAUGUCAACACCAUUUCCAUCAUCAUAGAACAUUGGUUAAACAUUAAUUAUCAUCAUCAGACACAAACUUAAAUUUCUCAAAAUCUAUAUCAUUAGCUGCAUCUUCCAAAGAUCUUGCAUUCUUAAUCAAAAGUUCACCUCUUCUCAACCUCAUCAUCACCUCAACUCCUCCUACUUCUCUAACCAUCUCCAAACCUUUCUCUAACUCAUCCACAAACCAAGUCAUCUCUUCAUACUUUUCUUGCAAGGAAAGUUUAGCAUCCGUCAACUUAACCCUAACUCUUUCCUCCCUCCACAUCUCAGCCAUUUGCAACAUCUGCCUUUCCUCCUCCGUCUCAUUCCAUAUCCUCCUUGUUUCCACCUUCAGUUCAUCUAUCCUCGUCACCAGUUCCUCGCACACCUUCUCUAGUGUGUCUCUUUCUCUCCUCAACCGAUUUGCUGUUGAUUCCAUCUCCAACACCUUCUUCUUUAACAUAGAAUUCUCAGCAUUAGCUCUUUUCCUUUCUUCCCUUUCUUUGCUGAACUUCUCCUUCAAGUAAUCAAAAAGCGAAUCAGUAUUUUCUUCCCAGCUUAUCCUUUGGUUUCUUAUACCAUUUUCCUUUGAUCCAAUCUUCUCAGUUUCAAGCUCUUUGAUUCUAGAUUGAGCCUUCCAUAGCUCAUCUUGAAGACGAGGAACAAGGCUACCGUCUAUAUUCUCUUCUUCUUGAAACUUCUCAUAAGGUUCAACGGAGUAAUACGUUCGGCAUGAUCCCAAGUCCCACUUAGUUAUGCCCUCCAUCUGCAACAUUUUUUAAAGGCAAAGAAAAUCAACGUUGAGAGAUCUCAUAAACCAAACCAAAUGAUCACAAACCUGAUAGCUAAAACGUUCUGCACCGUCAGCUUUAGGAGGAAGCUUCUGAAGCCUUGACGCAAGCUUCCUCGCAGAGACUUUGAACCCUUUUGAUUUCUGGUGACUGGAACGUUCGACGGAGGAGACGUAUAUUUUCCGGCGAUGAAGAGCGAGUGACUCGUCCCCGGUGUUCAUAAGGGAUAAAAAAUACAAUGACAAUUAGGAGUUGACCGUUCAGGGACACACAGGUAUAGAGAAUUAUAUACACAUAUAUCUGGAUUUACAUUGAAUCAUAAUGCACAAUAUUAAGAAACAAAUUGAAAACAUUUAAGACAAUGAUUUGCUAUGCAGAUUUGGUCUCUUUGCUUCUAUAUAUGCAGAUUUGGUCUCUUUGCAUCUAUAUAUGAAGGUUUUGAUAUACAUAUAAUAUGUUAACACAUAAGGAGAAAAUAAACUAAAUUAAUGCGUAUGAUAUAGUCUAAGCAGGAUAAGUACUGAAACUAAAUCGAAUAUUUUCUUCCAAAAAUUGUAAUUAUACCAAUUUUUUUCUUUUUUUCUUUUAAUUGUAGCUGAAUAUAUGUUCUAGUUUACCUUUAAUUUUUUUUCUUCUUAUUAUGAAUUUUCAAACUGUUCUUUGGUUGAUGAUUGAUGAACAAGUUUUCACUCUUUCUUGCCAAUACAUUCUUGCCAAUACAAUACACUGCAUGUUAUAAAGAAACAUGAUCUGCUCUUCAGGAAAAGCUCAUUACUACCAUGCAUUAUACAUUCACAUAGUUAUUAGAUUGGCUACACUACUGUGAAUAGUCACUAAGCACAAACCAAAUCAAAUCUCCAUUUGAAUUAGCACAUUUGCAGAACCAACAAACUUGGAAAACUAAGUGUCAAUUAAAGAGCAAGAACAAUGAAAAGAAACAUAAGAACCAUCCAACAACAAAACUAAAACCAGAGAGGGACAAAAGCAAAGAACCAUCCAACAUCUGAACCUGUCUUUUUAAGACAGUUGGCGACGCUUGUAACGCACCAUAACAUUGCCUUUAACACCAACCACCAUAGCGUUCCAGUCAAUCUCAGGAAACGGCGAAACCAACUCAAGCUCAAAGUUCCUCAACAAAUGACUCCAUAUAGCUUUGAUCUGAAGGUAAGCAAAGGGCUCUCCAAGACACCCAUGCCUACCUCCACCGAACGAAAUGUACGAAAACGCCCCUGCGGCUUUGUCCUCCUCUCUUCCCACGGAGAAUCUAUCAGGGUCGUAGCUGUCAGGGUUCUUGAAGAUAUGCGGCAAGCGGUUGGCAAACGCAGGCGAGGUUGCAACGAUAUGACCCUUAGGGAUGUCAUACGUUUUACCAUCCCUUGUCGUGACGUUGAAGUCACUGUGGGAGGCUCUCAUGAGCAUGAUCAACGGAGGGUGAAGCCUCAAGGCUUCCUUAAUGCAGCGGUAGAGAACAUCCAUCUCGGAUAAGAUGUCGUGAUCAAUCUUGUCUCCGUGUUUCUCCAUCAGCUUCCUCUGCUCAUCCAAAGCGGCAGAGAAGUGUUCCUUGUAUUUCAUCAGGUAAGCACCGGUCCACGUGGAGGUGAUGGAGCUAGUGUGCUGUCCUGCGAAGAGAGCAGCGAUGAGCAAACCCGUCACUUCGGAUUCGGUCGUCUGCCUACCGUCUUUGUACUUUGACUCGAUGAAACACUGCAAGAUGUCGUUUCCGGCUUUGUCUGAACGUUUUCUUGAUCCUAUGAUCUUUGAGAAGAUCUCGGAGAGCUUUUGUCUGGCACGGUCGCGACGACGGUGAGCUGGAAGCGGGAGGUAGGGGAAGAGGACACUGAUGGGAAGCAUUCCGUUGUCGAGGUCAUGGAACAAAGCAGAGACGUCAUCGAAAAGCUGGUCACGAACUUCUCGGCCUAGUAGACAUCUACUUGCAGUUAAGAUGAUGAGACGCUCUAGCUCAUCCUUUAGAUCAACUUCACCACUCUCUCCCCAUUUCGAGAAGAAGUUCUGCACAAGUAUUCACAAAUGAAGCUACCAAUGUAUUGCUACGAGGUAAUUAGGCGCAUGAUUAGUACCUAGGCGCAGAUUAUUCAGAACCAAGUCAUGAACUAGGACUUAACAAAUUUAUUUUAUACAGAUUUUAAAAAUGAAGCUACCCAUGUUCGAAAAGUAACUACGCAGUAACCAUGCACUCUAUAGAGAAUUAGCUCCUAAGAAGAUAAUUCGGGACCAAGGCGGCAACUAAACUAGACGUUAACAAAUUAUUGAUUUAUUUUAUACAGAUUUUAAAUUUAUAAAAGAUAUUUUAGUUUUUGGGUAUAAUUAUAAAAUUAUUUUGAUGACGUACCAAAAUUAGAUAUACAAAAUAAAACAAUUUUUGUGAAUGUUUACAAAUAUUAUUACUUAAUUUAAUAGAUUUAUACUAAUUUAAAUCGAUUCAAACCGUUUUAGAAUGAUUUAAAUCUAUUUAAAAUGGUUUAAACCGAUUUGAAUUAUAAAAAUCGGAUUUUCGUUUUGGUUAGAGGGGGAUUUGCCUUUUAGAACCUUGGAAACUACCAAACGAAAACACACAACAGCUACUUAGUAGAAGAUGUUAGUAUAUAUUACCUCAGCUUCAGUAACCAUCAUGUCCACAUAACCUUUCAACUUAUUGACUCUAAGUGCCUCAGUGAAGAACCUGAACUGCUCCUGACGAACUGAGUAGUCAACAUCGAAAACAACUCCAGGGCCAAAGGUAGGCACAUUGAACUGGUACACUUCCUGCUGGCUGAGAUCAGACUCAGGAGCUUUGAAGAAAUGGGCAGAGACUUCAGGACCGAUGAGAAAGGUCAUCUUUUUGUGGAGAAGGUUCACUGUGAAGACGCUUCCGAGGUUGGGAUACUCGUCUCUCAGCAUAACGAUGGGACCUUUCAGGAACCGGAGGAGGCUUCCGAUGAGUGGAGGAUAGGCUUGGAGAGUUGGUGGAAGACGCUUCUUCUUGGAGGAGGAAGUGAAGAAGGUGAAGAUGAGUUUGGUUACGAGGAGUGUCGCUGUUAUGACCAAACCUGUCUUUAACAGCUUGUUGUCUGAAUCUAAUUCCAUCUGUCAAAAGAGAGUAGAUUCAGAUCGUGAUUGGUUGAGAUUGAUUCGUGACUGAUGAAGUUUAAGACUUUAAAGAAAUGAGCUAGUGGAGAGUGAGACAGAGAGGUUUAGAAACUAGAGGGAGAGUGAGGAAAGCUUACAUUGGAGGAAUGAAGGAGACGAGUUUGAGAGACGGCGCGUGGGGAAGAGGAAGAAGAAGAAAGGUUUAGUCUUUGAGAUUUGUUAUGGCGAUGGAGAUGAGAGAUAUCGUCGCUUUCGACGCUGACUGAAACUGCUGCUUUCUCUCACCGGUUUAAUAAUACUCUUUUUCCGAUUUAUUAUUUAUUCUAAAAAUGAAAUUCAGCUGUUAUACACGUGGCAUAUUUAACGGUUUUUGUUGAUUGUUUGGUAUUAAAUAUUCAACGAAAAUAUUGAAAACCAACGGCUGGUUUUUAUUUUUAUAUUUUUAUUCAUUUUUAAUGGAGUUCAAACUAAUUUCUGUUUUAAGAAAAAAAAAACUCAAAAGAUACAUUUUUAUUUUUAAUUUUUUUUUGAAAAAUUGUAAUUUUUUAAAAAAUAUUACGUUUGUUAAAAUUUUAUUGGUUAAUUUUUUUAAAAUAGUUAAUUACAAAAAUAAAGCAUUAAAAGUUAAUAUGUUUGAUUAAUAUGUGGGUGAAUUAUAGAAUGUGGAUUAUUUUUAAACGAUUUGCUGUGAAGGUUUAAAACAAUAUGGUUUUAUUAAUCAUCUUUUUUGUUUUUUUUUUCUGUCCAUCAACAUUAGUGGAUCAUAAUAGCAGGUUAGGAUUAGGAUGUUGUCUAAUGACAGUCUUCUUGUCCAAAGUUUUAUUAUUAUAGUUUUAGUAGGUAAACUUUGAGAGUAUUGUCAAAUUAAUCUAGGACAAUCAAACCAUUUACUAUUUUUUAUAGACUCUGAAUAUGCAAACUAUUAAAGUUUAUGGAAUGGGUUGGUUGGAUCCAUCUAUGUAUUUUGAUAAAUUGACACACAUCUUUGAGAUGAAACAUAUAGUCACACAACAUAAAAAUCAUGAACAAAUGGUUUUGUAAAACAUAGAGAUACUCUGAGUAAUAGCUCGAAUGGUGGUGGACCAAGUACAAUCGAUGAAUAAGAUUUGUCAAAUGUGCCUUGACGGAGAUAACAGCUCAAGUACCUUUUUUAACUAUUAAAAAAAACAAAGUGACCCAGUCGUAGUUAGCUCGUGACCACUACACAUGCGAGAUUGAUCUCUGACCACACUUGAUUGGUACUAUUAUAUAUCCCUUCUUUGUCCUAGUACAAAGUUGUGUUAAGCUAAUUUAAUUGUGUAUGUCGAGGAGCCUGCGCCUAGUGAUCUUUAUAAAUUACGCACACAGAAUUGUCACAAUAUUAGCAAAACUCAGUACCGUGAUAAAUCUGGUUUAGCUGAGGAUAAUGAAACCACACAUAUAUAUAUAUGAUAAAUUUGAAUUUUUUUUAUAAUGAAAAUCAAUUCAGUUGUCUACCUUUUAUUAUAAAAAUGAAAUGCAAAAAUGAAAUAUAGAGUAGAAUAUGGAUUAUAUAUAAGUCGGGUAUUUAAUAUGCAAAAGUAUCAUAUAAGAAGAUUUUCAUUGGAGAGGUUUUUAACUAAAGUAUCUAGUAUUAAAAAGAUAAGAAUUAAUUGAAUGAGUAUCUUAAAAUGGUGACAUACACAUCUAAUGAUAUCUAAAAGUAUAUAUCUCACAGUUUUGAGAUGCCUAUUCAAUUAACCUUUUUAGAUUAGAUAUUCAAAAUUAAGAAUCCCUCCAAUGGAGAUGGUCCAGAAGAUAACAUCACAGACCAAAAAAAAACAUAGUUUUAUGUCUGCUCUGUAAUUCUCUCUUUUCACAAGGAGUUUCUGAUUAUAUCAUCAUAGGCUUAUCUUCAAUCUGAAGGCCCACUUUUAUAUUGGGCCCAGUUACGUUUAUGAUUCUCAAUAUUAGAACCCUUCGGAGACAUGAUGUUAGGAGGAUAUUAGGAUAUCACCAGAUCGGGAAGAUGAACUGAUUCACCGGAGAUUGUGGCCUGGUAACAUAAAUAACAACGAAGAAAGCCAGCUCGUUCGUUGUACUUGUACCGGUUCUUAACCAGACACAGCCAGUCUCCCAGCAUGGUUAUACCAAGAUCGGUUUACUUAUCAAUUGGUGAUUUUCUUUGGUCGCACCGGUACGGUCAACUACGAAAGUUGUACGUUGAGUAGACCGCCGAAAUUAGGUAGGUUUUUGUCGCCAAGUAGGUAGGUUUCAUAUUAAUUCAUGAUGCUUGAAAAUCUUUUAUUGUACCAAAAAAAUCUUCAUACGGAAGCAUAUCAUAGGUUUAAUUGUCAAUGAUGUGUGAUUUGCUUUUAAAUUAUACAUAAUUCAUGCCAUACUAUAAGGCUUAUAGUAAAUUAGUAAUAGCAUGCAUGCAUAUAUCAUAUUUUGGUUCGCGUAUACUAAAAACAAUAUUUAAGAUCACUAAACUUAAAAUGUCAAAAGAUAUGGCAAUGCCGAAGGAUAAGAUUAUUCGAUAGACAAUCACAUGGGCUAUCUUUUAAUCGAUUCAUGAUUAACUAGGGACAGUAUUGCAUGGAUUGCGGUUACUAUCCCUAAUGAUUCAACAACCGGAUAUAUACAUGGAAUUAAUUAACAAGUGUACUUGAAAUUUAUAAGAAGAUAUGUUAAAUAUGUAGCUGUUAGUGUAUCACUCUAACUAGUUGAUAUAGUAUAAUAGUACUAUGUAGUAUUGAACUCAAAACUAUUAUUCGUAUGCUUUGUUCGAGUUCAAGAAAGAUUAAAAAAAAAAUUCUUUAACGAUAAAGUUCCGCUUCUAAAAGAAAAGAAGAUGUUCCGCUUACGAUAAAAAUUUACAGUAGAGUACGUAUGGAAAUAUAUUAAAAAAGAUCGCAAAUCUCAAGAUAUAUCCUCAAAAUAUGCAUUACUUAAUCGAACCAUUAGUGGUUUUUAUAGACUAUUGUGAUCCAAUAAAAUACUGUAUUUAGUAUUGAAAUCAAGUAUUAGUCUCGAAUCUCGAUACUUUGGUUAAAAACGUGGAAAUUAAGAAAUUAUAAAUAUUUCAUUUUAAGCAAUCAAAAUACUGCAGAGUAUACUGAGGUAUUUUAAAUAAAUAUACAUUUAUGUUGAAUUUGAAAUAUAUAGAUCAUAAAAAUUCUAAAUAUCUUACAUAAUAGAACAUUAAGAUUGUUAUUUAUCAAUUAUAUAGUAUAUUAUCCAGUAAAUGUUAAUAUCUGAUUUUUCAUUAUACUUGGUACGACUAAAAAUAUCCUUUUGGUCAUUUUCCAAAUCUAUAAAAAUUAUAAGGAUCCCGCAUUCUUCUAGUUCUAGUACUGCAGGUUUUCCACUACUCAAAACAAAAGCAAUUAUUAUUUUAUUUAUUUUACUUUUUAUUUUAUUUUAUUUAAAACUAUAGUUUACUUUAUUUUUGUAGUCUUAGUUUACUCUUCAUUUACUUUCUCCAUGUUACUCCUCUAGUUCACUUGGUAGACCGUAGAUCCAUGAUUCGGCUCAAGCAAUUAUUACCAUAAAGUAGGGCUGGACAUUUGUAAAAGGAUACUAUCCAUUUGGAUAUUGGUUUUUUGGAUUUUGAAAAAUGAUCCCAAUCGGAUAUUACAAAAGAACUAGGAUGGGUUCGAGUCGGAUCCGGGUGGGUUCAGAUAACCAAAGUAACCAAACUUCUCCAUUCGACUCGGGUAUUUUAUAUCUAAAAUACUCAAACUUAUCCUAAAUAACUUAAAAACUACAAAAUACUCAGUUUAUGUAGUUUGAAUAGUUUUUUUGUCUGAAAGUAACCAUGAAUAUAAAAUUAUUUGAGUAUAUUUAUCCAAAAUAUCUAUUUCAUCUGCAAAUAAUAACUAAUAUAUUUGGUUUAUAAUUUUAAUUUAGAUAUUAAUACUAUUAUAAAUAUAAUUUAAAAAUAAUACUUUAUAUAAAUAUUUAUAUGUUUGGAUAUUUUUUGAUACAUGUUCGGUUCUCGGUACGGAUCAGGUUUAGUUUUGGUUUUUUCGGUUUUGAAAAAUGGUCUCAUUCGGAUAUUUAGACAGGAUCCGACCAGAUCAAGUAUCCUAUUUUUCAGAUCGGUUCAGGUAAAUAUUUCGAGUAUGAUAUUAUGUCCAGCCCUACAUAAAGUCCUAAAUAACUCGUGCUACAAACUUGAUUGGGAGAUAAAACCAUGUAGGAAAUAUAUUGUCCCACUUUAUUUUCAGAAUAAAUUGUAGUAAACUAAAAUCAAGCAGAACCGAUUUUUCUUUUAAAACGAACAUUUUUUUUGUUUUUUUUUUGUAAUAAGGAAACCGAAUAUAAUUUCAAUUAGUUUUUUUUUUGACAAAAAAUUCAAUCAGUUUCAAUAUCUUAAACGUAAAGAUUUGUUUUAUUGAAAACCUACAUUCAAUCAGUUAAAAAAAAAAACUAAAUUCAAAUCCAAACGCUUCCAAGAGUGGGCAUACCUGACUAUUUUAUAUAGACGAUCAAAAGCAUUUAAGUUGUACAGUAGUUUCUAAAUUUACAAAAACAAAAUCAUGAUUUAUUUUAAGCAAAAAAGAGUCAUGAUUUAGUACCAAAGAUCGCAUUUUUUUUAAAGUCUCAUUAGAACUAAGAUAUGACCACCACGCGAUUCUCGAGUUGUAUAAUUAUUUCUUACCCUAAUAUCCCGCAAGAAUCUCAACUUUUAUGCGUCACACGUGUUCACGUGUAUAACACAAAAUCAUAUAUGUUCACACUUACAUAUUUAGUUGCAUAAUAUCAUGCUCGACCGGUUGUUGGAGAGCUAGUAGGUAUAACUUAUACUUAUCUUGAUUUAGGGUUAUUAAAAUGAUUGUCAAUAUUCGUCAAAAGAAAGUAAAUUAAUAAUUCAGCAAGUUUGUUGACCAAAAAUACAGUUGCCACUCUAAUGUACAGAAAUUAUGAGUUCCAAAAUCCAUAUAUUUCAACCAUUUUAAAUUAAUUUUAUAAAGACAAUUCUAGGGAAAACCUCUAAUUAGUCUGAUGGAAUCAAAUGAUUGGAAAAGGCAAACGUCAGACUCGAAUACAAGCUCUCGUUCACUACGUAAUACCAUCGCUAGCUUUACUAGACGACAUAUCAAAAUUAUAUGUGACCUAAUCAUGAACGUCUUGAUUAUGUCGUGCGAUAGAUCUGAUUCUAUGUCGACCAGAGGCCCAUUGUCUUUUCUUAAUAUUAUUGGUUAGUGUUGUAGUUCUAGGUUAUUUGCUUUAAUAUUUAGGCUGUAGAUAUUUUGACUAUGAUUUUAACUUUAAAUCGUUGUGCCUUAUUUUUAAAGAUAUCAAAACACACAUAAAAGUUUUAUAAAAACUGAUUUCCAGAUCUAGUAUAUUUCAUUUUCUAUUUUUUUUUGUUCUAGAUACGUAUUUAAAAACUAAAUCAUGAGUGUUUCAUAAAAGUGUUUAAAAUAUAAAAAUGGUUGUGUAAAGUUCCUACAACACUUUCCAAUCAAUUUAUAGUACGGAAUUUUGUGGAUACAUUUAUUUAGUACGUCAUAAAAGAUAAUAGUCACUCCAUUCUCGAAAGUAAGAUUUUCUAGAUUUUUUAUUGUGUCACAAAGAUAUAUUUUCUAUAUUUUUAAGGUAUUUUUUAUACUUUUGAAAAAAUAUUAAUUACAAAUAUUUGAAUUGAUUAAAUUUAAUUGGUGGAGAGUAAUUGACAAGUGUAUAAAAAAAUAAAUGAUAAAUUAAACUGUAAAUAUUUAUUAUAUUUUUAAUAAGCGUUAAAUCUUUAGAAAAUUUUACUUUCGGGAAUGGAGAUAAUAUUACAUAUUUUUAUCAAAGAUAGGAAUAAGAUACUCAAAGUAUUUACCCAAAAUUUAUAAACAUCCGAAGUUAAUAUAUCUGAUUGCCCUAUAAUGCGCUCCAAUGUAAUCCAUAAUGUCCUUUUAUUUUAACAAUAUAAUUUAUGCCGUAUCAAGUUCGUGUCGAAUUUAUAAAUCGCAGAAAAUAUGUAUUUUCUUGGAAUAUAUUUUAAAUCAUAACCAUAAAACGUUUCUUGGUACAAAGAGGUAACCUUAGAUAAUCUCUCUCUCCUUCAGCUCUGUUCUCUCUCUACGAUCCGACACAGAGGAAGGAGGAGAUGAGAUCUCGGCCGGAGUUUCUUGUGGUUCCGGUUCCAGUUUAUCAAAAUCGAUUCUGGGAGGCGGUGAUUCUAUACACCGACGUCGCCAGCUCAGUUUCCGAGAACCGAUGGCUUCAAUAGCAUCGGUUUCGUCGGCUUUAGAUUCCGGGAAUCGGUGGCUCUAAAAGCACCGUCUUCUCCGGCUUCUCGGUCUGUGGAUCUUCGCUUUUGCUCUCUCUUCGCUCAAUCAACUCUCGAUCUGAGACUCCAUGUUUGGUUGUUUCUUGGAUCGAUCGUAGAUGAUUGUUGUUUUAAAGCGUGGAUCGGUUACGGGUUUAAAAGCUCACCGUUGAAGGGUCUCAAGUGGUGAGGGAAGAAGAGUUGGGUUCGUUGGCUCUGGAGGAGUUCUCGGGAUGGUCUCGAUGUUGCUCUCCGUUCGAAAGAGUCCAGGUGAAAAAGAUGGGUGAGAUGGUCGGCCUCCGGCGUGUUCCGGCGAAACUACUGGUGGUUUCGUCUUCUCCGGCGGCGUCUUCUCGGUGUCAGUUGCGGUUUACUGCUCGGGUGACGCGUGUCUCUCGGUGGAGCGGGUCUCAACACGUGGUCAAUUAGAUGUUGUAGACGUGUUUUGUCGGCUUGUCCGACUUAGUUUUGGGCCUGAGGCCGUUGUGUUUUUUUUUUGUUUUGUUGGCCCGUUGAUUUUGACUUUCGGGAUUGGGCUUUCCUGUUUGGUUUUUGGGCUUGGCACAUUUAAUAAAAUAUAGAUGGCAAAAAAAAAAAGAGAGGUAACCUUAGAUUGUUUCUUGUUGUCGUUUUCUGCAUCUCUCAUUAGACUAUUUAAUUAACAAUAAACAAUAUCUUGAUCCUAAUGUUUUCGUCGUUCGUGAACCGUCGGACGCUAAAUUUCAGCUCUUUGACCUUUGAUAACUUAUAGUAUUAUUUAAUUUUCUCUAGGAAAAUACCUGUGUAUUCCGAUGCAGAAAAUUUAAGUACACUUUUACAUUUGAUCAAAAAUUAAAUAUGUUAACAAUCAGGUAAGCGUCAUGAUGAGCACUAUAACUUUUUUUUUCGAAACUAAAUGUAUGAGCACUAUAACUUAACACCGAUUACAAACAACAAUCAAGCUGUAAAAAUCCUAACAGUUGUUCAUAUGGUCGCCACUAUAUUUAUACAGUACGUAUAAACAAACACCAUAAUAGACACUGCUCUCACACACCAAAAAUGGGAAUGUCAUUUUCAUUUAAGACUUUCGAACAACCAAGGGAAUUUCUGUUCAUAUUAAAGAGCCUAUAGCACUGGCUAGUCGCUCAAUAUAAUAAAGAGAAUAUGUGCGUAUAAGAUUUGGGUUUACACACAUGAUUCAUAUCUGAUGUAUUAGUUUUAAUAAAAAUUUAGAACGAAAAAGCAUGUACACACUAACACACACAUAAUAUACAGCCAAAGGUUGUACAUACUCUAUCGCGUUUACAUUAAUAUUCCAACGUGUAGAAAUUACAACUUAAUAACUAAUCUUUUAUUUACCCUAUAUGUUUCGUUGGUGGCUUCUAAAGACUAUCAUGCACACAUUACAAAAUAUCAACAAACUAUAUAUACAAUUCUAGAAGCAAAAUAUAUUCAUCAUAAGCUUAGUUAAAACAAAAAACAUAAAUUCAUCCUUUUUACAAACUAUAUUUUAGAAGAAGAAAAAGUAUUUUCUAAUAGAUGCAGUUACUGUAACUUAUAAUUACGACACACCUGAAUAGAAUCAUACAAUAUUAAUUACAUCAAAUGCUCUAUCCUCUAAUUAGUGAAAAGGUCUUAGAGAAUUAACAUUGCUAGGAAAAAACUUCUUUCAGCUUAAAAGGAAAAAUAUCACAAGCAAUCACGAAAGUCCUUUUUUUUUGUGGUAAAAGCAAUCACGAAAGUUCCAGUCGAUUUUUUUUUAUUAAUGGAUUCAUAUUCGUUGGUCAACUAAUCACCACGAUUAUUCUGAUUUCUUUAAUAUUUUGAAGCUUUUUUUCUUCUUCUGAAAUUGACUUGUCAAAUACUCCAGAUAAUAAUAAUACUAAUUAUUAUUAUUCAAUAUUAUUAAUAAACAAAGUUACAACAAUGUACGAGUAGGUCCUUUCUAAAAAAAAUGUACGAGUAGGAGCUUCGUGUAAAGUGUCCUCGUGACUCACUUGUCCGCGUUUGUGAACCAUCAGUCAACGCAAUCUGACCUUCCAAUCAAAAUCGUCUUCGUGAAUUUUAAAAGCACGAGUUUGGCAUGUCUAACGUGGCACCUUUUGUACGUCACAUCUUUUACGUCUACGUCACCACAUUCACGUUUCCCCCUUUUUCUUCACUUGCUUAUUUAGUAAUUUUAUGGAGUAGUAUUUUCUUUUUACAAAGUUGUUUUGUUCCCGUCGAUUGUAUUGAGUUAGUCUAAUUAAUUAAUGGUUGAUUUUCAAAGGAUGUGUCGCAUUGGAGUGUCAAAAUAUUGAAUAUGUUGUUCCUUUAAGAGUUUUAGAAGGCCUGUCGUUGCACAAGUAAUGAAUAGAGAUCAAACUAUACUCUAUGUUUGUAAACUGAAUCAUCUAUCGUGAUUUAUCGGAAUUUGCUUAAGAGUAUGAUGCGAAUUAGAUAUAUUGUUAAAUGCAUAAUAUUAUAUAUAUCGAGUGGCGGACUCAAAGCCAAGGGUAUGGGGUCACCCAUCUCUUUUCUUUUUAUUUUCUGUAGUAAUUAGUACUCCCUCUGUUUCAAAAUACUUGAUGUUUUAGAUGAAUGCACAAGAAUUAAGACAUACUCUUUUUCCUAAAAAGUAACAUUAAAAAUAUAAAGUAAAACUAAUUCAGCCAAUCACAAAACCCACUAUAAAACAUCAUUGGUGACACAGUUUUCUGUAAAACUAAAACUAAUAUAAAAAUAUCAAAACAUCAAGUAUUUUGAAACAUUUUAAACUCUCCAAAACAUCAUCUAUUUUGAAACAGAGGGAGUAUAAGACAUAAGGAGAACCCCAAUUAGAACACUAGAUAUAGGGUCUGACUGGUUAAAACGCAGCAGCUGCGGUUGCGGGUGACUGCGGUUUCUAGCGGUUUUACGAGAUUUGUACGAUUGGUUUUGCGGUUAGAAAUUUGUACGUUUCCGGGAUAUUUAUGACUGCUUAACUACCAAAUGCAACAUCAAUUAAAUAAUAAAUUAAUUAUAUUUACAUUUUAUAUAAUUAUAAAAAUAUCAAAAAUCAUAAUAUUAUAAUAAAUAUAAAAAAUAUAUUUAGAAAGUUAUAGUUUUAAAUUUUUUAAAAUUAUAGAAUUUCAUUUUAAAAAUUUAUGAUAUUAAUUAAAAUAUAAUAGAUAUAUUUUAGUAUUUUUAUAAUUCCAAUUUAAAAAUUUAUUGAAUUUUCUCUUUUUAAUUUAUAUUUUUUUAAAGAAAAAAAAUUUAUUCUCCCGCAACCGCAACCGCAAACGCUAGUUGGAACCAACUUUUGAAUUUAUGAGGUUUAAAGUGGUUUGAAGCAGUUUAGUACAGUUUAAAACAGUUUGAGUGAUUGUUGCAAAAUGCCAACAACCGCUACCAGUCAUACCCAUAGGUGUAUAAUUGUCAUGUGCCCCGGUCUACGUAUAAUCUUGGAUCCGCCCCAUUAUAUAUCACAUGUGUAGUAUGGUAAGAAUUAGAACGGAAAAUGUGAAGAAAAUAAAUGGUAUUUGUUGGAAGUUCGAUCGCAGGUGGGUUGCAGCUAACACAUUUUCUUUGUCGGCAACCAAUAAAUCACACCCACACUAUGCUUUUGCAGAUAGGAUUCAUAUAUUGUAGAUCUUUUUCCAACUUGGGUUUUUAUUUACUUAUAUAAUACCUGGAUUUGAAAAAUUAUAAUGACAGUGUGAGAAAUUAUUUGAUAUUUUUUAAAAAAUACAGAAAAUCAGGUAUUUGCAAAUGUGUUUACAAUAAUUCCGUGUAUAGAAUUCCAGAAAACUAUUCUGCUAAUUUAUUUAAAUUAGUUAUUAUUUUUUCCAUUGAUUUCUUUCAUGCUAAAAGUAAAAGCAUUUUGGAUCGGCUAACAUUAUUUUUGCUUUACAACUUCAACUGAUUGUGACAGUUUGAAAUCUAUUAAGUCCUUAUGGAUUUGUCCCUAAGUAAAAUCUAUUUUUUCCAUUGCUUUCUUUCAUGCUAAAAGGGCAACAUUAUUGGUUGGACAAACUUUUGUCCUUAGAAUUAAUUAGUAUUAUUUUUUAGUUAGGGACAAAUCCAUAAGGACUUUUUUAAUUUUGUUGAUUAUUGGUAGGACAAAAAAAGUCCUUAGCAUAUUUUAUAAUAUUUAUUUUAAUGUGUGAUUAGAUAUAAAAAAUACAUUUUAAAUAAACAACAAAUAAUUACACAAUCUAGAUCAUAAACUCAUCAUACAUCUCAGUUUCAUCGAUAACAGAACACAUUUACCAGAUGCGAAGAACACAUUACACGUCUACUGAAUCGAUAAACACAUCUCACCUAAAUCUACACGAUAACAUCACCAAAUACAAAUGAAUCAUUUAUCAUCAAAGACUAAAGAGACGACAAUAUAAAUACCAAAUCCCUAAAUCUAUAGAAAUUCAAGCAAAUGAUUCAAAGUAUAAAUACAUGCAAAUCCCUAAAAUCACCCUUUCACCUUCGAUUCGCAGCGAUAAAGGUCGGGAGGAGACGAUCGAGGGGAGAUCCUAUUGUAUUGUUAUCUGAAAAAUCUUUUAGUGAAAAAUUAAAAACAUAAUUAUAUAACUAUAUAUUAAAAUUAUUAAUUAUAUAAUUAAUUGAAUUAUCCAAAAUCUAAAAAAAUAAUUAAAAAAGAUAAAUUCUAUAUAUAUAUAUAUUGUAUUGUUAUCUGAAAAAGUCUUUUACUAAAAAGUUAAAAAAAACAUAAAUUAGAUAAUUAAAUAUUAAUCAAAUAAAUUUUUUAAUUCUAUAAUUAAAAUAGAAUAUUAAGUUAUUUUAAGAUUUAUUUUAAUAUAAUGAAUAUAGUGUACAAAAAACUUUUCAAAAAUUUAUGAAAAUGUUUAAGCUCGCAUUGCAGGCAAAACACCUUAUCUAUACUAUUAUUUGCGAAGUAAAAUUUUGGAAUCGAGCUCUCACGUUGAAAGUUAGAGCGGUUAAUAUCUAUACUACCCUUAAUGAAUUUUAUAUAUAUACUAUUUCUUAUAUAAUUAAUUUAUUUAGAGAAAAUUAUCUAUAUGUCACAUUUGAUGUAUGUCUCCUUUUCAUUAUAUGAUUUGGUUGAUUUCAACAUAAUUUGUUUCUAUCUUUAAUUCGUCAUUAUUAUCCCUAUUAUCAUUGGAUUUAUCUUUCUAAAUAAAACAAACUAUUUAACCAAUGAUGUGUAUAUAUAUGUAAGUUAAUCCCCACGUCCUUAAAAGCUUCAAAAUCAAACUUCUAAUAUCUAAAUAACAUCUUUUUACUCAGUGCAAAACAUGUCCCAUCCACGAAGGAAGACAGCUACUUUAGUCUUUAUUGACGAUAUUAAACCAGAGAACAAUAGUUACAAAUUAAAGGUGCAGGUUAUGAAAUUGUGGAAGCUAUGGAGAUCAAAAAAAGUUGUCUCCAUUGAGAUGGUUCUUGUGGAUGCAACUGUGAGUACACUACAAUAUUAUUUUUGAUGAUUUCUAUUUUUAGUUUAUGUAAGAUUAUCUAACUUAUUCAAUUGUAGGGAACAAGGAUACAUGCAUCCAUUGAUGAGGAUUUGAUACAAAUAUAUGAAGGAAAAGUGUCUGAGGGUAUCUUUAAGUACAUUACAAAGGGACCAGAUUAUGUUAGAGCUUCGGUCCAAGGGGAUGAUACAGAUGAUACUAUCGACGAUGAGAUACAGAAGUUCCUUAGUUGCAGGUAUGUGCUAAUAAUAUACAAACUGUUUUGUCUCUUUCUGAUGUUUUUUCUCUUGAGUCCAUAGUUUUUUUUAUAAAAAAAAGAAGAAAAAAGAAAUUAGGACUCGGGGAGGAGAUGAAACGUGUGCAUAGUUUAGCCAAAUCAACUACUGUCUACUCUCUUGAUUUAAUAGUGUUACAACAUGAAAUAUUGAUUUUAGUUCUAUUUUGAUUAAUUUAAAAACUAAGAUGAGACAAAAUUUUAGAGAAUAUAUUUGUGUAAUUUAAAAUCAAGUUAGGAAUAUUCUAUCAAAAUUUUAGAGAAUUACUUGUGUACAUAAUUAAUAGUGGGAAUAGGAAUGUUUCUAAAACGACCAGUUCGUUACUAAAAAGAAAAAAUAUAUUAACAACUCCAAUCAAAUAGAAAAACUAAAUUCAAAAUAGUGUUGACAGAUUGCUUUUAUUUGAUGAUGCAGGUAUAUUUCAGCGUGUGAAGCAACUUGGAGAAUACUAGCUUUUCCUACGCAUUACCGAACAACCACAGUAGUUAAGCUUUCCUUCCAUUUACCUAAUCAGCAAAUGGCAAUUUAUAAUGAAGAUGACCCUAUUGACGAUGUUUUAAAUCGUUCUGCGGUAUUGCGGUCAAAGUUUCUAGCAUGGAUGGAGGCGAACUGUAAAUAUCCGGAAGCAAGAGGUCUAACGUAUGCGGAAUUCCCCACAAGGUUUGUUUGGGUACAAAAGACGAGAGAGUGGAAGCCACGUGACAAAGGUUUUGCAAUAGGAAGGAUUACAUAUGUUCCACCUAAAUAUGUUACAUAUUAAAGAUGUAUUUUUUUGUUUUUUCUAUGAAAAAAUUGUAAACUUCAAGAAAAUUAAUUGAUUUUAUUGAAUUACUAUUAGUUAAAAGUUAUUAAAAUUGAAAAUUACAGAAAACAGUAUAGUUAUUAUGGUAAUUUAAUGUGUUUUCUUAAUAUGUGUGAAAAUACUAAAAAGUCUAUUUUUUAAAAAGAGAGAGAGUACUAUCUAAGAGUUUUGCUCAACAUAGUUAAAGGCCCAAGGAGUUAUGAAGAGAUACGUACAGUCAAAGGUAUUGUUUAUAAGACAUAUAAGGAUGCAUGUUAUGCAUUGGGAUUAUUGGAUGAUGAUAAAGAGUAUAUCGAAGCAAUUAACGAAGCCAGUUUAUGGGGAACAUGGAACUUUUUAAGAAAGCUAUUUGCUAUAAUGUUAUUUUCUAAUAGUAUGGCUAUGCUUGUUAAAGUUUGGAACGCAACAUGGAGAAUCUUGACAGAAGAUAUAUUAUACAAAUUAAGAAAGGAAAAUAAUAACCAAAGUAAGUUAUGUUCUUCUUUGUUUAUUAUACUUUAGAUUACGUGUGUGGUAUUUAACCCCUUUUUGUCUUUAGGUGUCUUGAGUCCACGGAAUGAAGAUGUCGACAAGAUCAAUGAAUGUAUGCUAUCUCAAAUAAAAGGUAAAUCUUUUGUCUGAUGUUUAUUUUGUGUGUUUUAGAAAAAGUAUUUGGUUUCAUGUCAAAUCAUUAAUGUUGAUUAUUUUCUUUUGAAUAUUUGAAUAGGUGAGGAGCGUUCGUAUCUCAGUUCAGAUAGUAUAGAUACUUUUGAUACAAGUAAAAUAGGUGAUAUGGUGUACACUCAAGAAUAUUUAAACAGCAUUAAGAUCUCUGGAUUACCAAAUCAUGAUCUAAAGUUGAAAAUCGGUGCACCUAUUAUGCUGCUUAGGAAUAUUGACCCUAAAGGUGGACUAUGCAAUGGUACAAGGUUACUUGUAACACAAUUAGCAAAUCACGUCAUUCAAGCCAAGUUUAUAACCGGUGACAAAGUUGGCCAAAAAGUUUUGCUCCCAAUAAUGUUUGUUUCUCCACCAUAAACCAGAUUUCCGUUUAGGAUGAGACAGAGACAAUUUCCUGUUGCUCUUGCUUUUAGGACAUUAUUAUGAUGCAUCUUAACUGUUUAAUAUUCUCAAAAUUAUUGUGCCCGCGUCCACGCGGGCUGGACACCUAGUUACUAUUAAAUGUAGCCAUGUGGCCAUCGUAGAAACUCCAGACACUGACUCGUUGUUUUUUUUUAUCGUUGUCAUUUACCCACACCCUAGUCCAUGAUGCAGCUGCCUUAUUUUCAGAGGCGUGCCAAUGGUAUAAGUUUUGAGGCAUUAGCCUCAGGCCCCACUUGUUUUAGGAAAUUUAGGGGCCCCAUAUUUGUAGUCAUUAGCAAAAUGAUAAUGUAAUUAGUGUCUUACUGGAAAAGAAAACCUAUGUUUUCUUCUAAUAAUUCGAACUUUUUCUUCUGGUUUCACUUAUUGUCGUGGACACAAGUUUUUUCCUUUUUUUUUGUACGUUGAAGUUUUUUUUAUCAGUUUAAAAAUUAGAUAUAUAUUUUUUUUCCAUCAAAAGUAUUAUAUUUCCACUGGCACUUUCUAUAAUUUUCCUUUUAUAAAAUAACUUCAAAAUCUAAAAUAACAAAAUACCAACUUUUAUUUAGAUGUUGUAUUAAAAAUUAUUAUUAGACUAGUAUUAGAAUUUGUAUUAUUAUCUAUAAUAAAAAAUUGGACAAUUUUGCCUUAGACCCCUAAUACUCUAGGCACGGCACUGCUUAUUUUCCAACGUAUCAUAACUGUAAACAUUUCACAACUUUAAUUAUUGCAAAAAUAUCAACGUGAUGUUAUCUUCACAAAUCUGUUUAAUCGUCUGAAGUGUUGUGGGCAUCUGCCCAUUCAUACCAAACCCGAUAAAACUAUAAACAAAAAGUUUACGAGAAGACAAAGAUUUGUACCUACGUGACAUGACAUCCGGAAUAAGUCGAACGCUCCUACCAAACCGAUCAAAAACCCAAAAAGCUAAGGAGGGUUUUAAGGGGGCUGCUUUAGGAAUGCAGAAAAGCCUUGCCACAGUCGCAAAAGACGCAACAGAAAAGUAAUAAACGUUACAUAACUUGAUUGAUCUCUUGACUGCCGAGUGUAUCGUGUGGACUUUUUCCCGGGAUGGACAUUAAAAUCACGUGUUGUGCUUUGUUUUCUGCGUUUGAUUCCUAAUAAAAUAUACUAACACCAUAAGUAAAUAUCAUGUUUUUGUGUGUUAAAACUUAAGAGUAAAAUAACAUGUUUCUAUGAGAAUUUUAGCUUUUUUUUUUAAUUUUUUUUUUCAAUUUUAGCUUUGUUUUAGCCGCCUUUUAAGAAAAUUAGUUUGGAAGAAAAUAUAUAACCAGUUUAGAUGCAGUAAAACAUAUAUACUAAUACUGUAUGUUUUUAGAUUAUGGUAUUAAGGAUAAUCGGGGAUGAUUGAUAAGUGCUGUAGCUUUAUAUUUUUUGCUGUAGAAUUUAAUCUGUAGAUUUAUUUGUUGUAGUUUUUUUUUAUGUAGAUUUCUAAAGCACUAAUUUUUUGCUCUGGAAAUAAAGUUCUCUAGAGCCAUAUUUUGAUUGCAGAGAUUUUUUUGCUGUGAAUUUUUUAAGGAAAGCAAAACUCGAUUAGUUGACAUAUAUAGUUAUAGACUAAAAUUUGGCUGUCCUGAGCAUCUAUCGCCCCAACCAAUCAUCCCCGUUGAUUUAUGUAUGGAAUGCUAUGUUUCGAACUAAAAAUUAAUCUACGUUAAUAAAAAAAACAAAAUUAGUCUUUUACGUGCUAAGGGCAAAAUAGGUAUCUUGACUUUUCCUCGUCUCUUCCUUUUAAGCAUUCUUUAUUAUCUUGUAAAUAAAAAAAUAGAUAAUUUCGGUCAGUAGACACGGCAAAAUCGCCUUUAUAUAACAGGUCCUCCAAGCCAAGUAGCAGAACGAUAGACACUCGACAAAGAACAAUAAAGAGAGAAAGAGAGUGAAGAGUCGUUAAGAAACAUUCACAUUCUCUUCUUUUUAGUAAAUAAUAUAUAUUUCCAAGAAUGGGUUCGGAAGCUGCCGUCACCGCCGUGGACAACCUCCAGCAACCAUUACUUGAGCCAACGAAGUCAGAAGUUGACUUCAGGAUGGAGAGUGUGUUAACAGACACUCAUUUGCCUUAUCUCCGGCGGCUAUAUUUUGCGGCGUUGAUCGAGCUGAAGUUUCUCUUCAACCUGGCGGCUCCGGCGAUCUUUGUCUACGUCAUUAAUAAUGGCAUGUCCAUGCUCACUCGUAUCUUCGCCGGUCGUAUUGGAAGUAUGCAACUCGCCGCCGCUUCUCUAGGAAACAGUGGUUUCAAUAUGUUCACCUUUGGUCUCAUGGUAAUUAAUUACUACUAAUUACAUUUUCUCUUUAAAACUAAACACAAAUUGUAAAAAAAAAGACUCAACAGUCAGAAACCAACGGAUCUAAUGAAAGUAACAUGAAACCAGAUUUUUUUUUUUUUAAAUGAUUAAUCCUAUAACUUGAAUUUUAUAAAAUAUUUAUAAACGUUAAAUACAGUAAGAGAUAUUUGAAAAAAAAAAUUCAAACCUUUGAUUGACCCAAUAAGCUUUUUAAGUUAAAAUCAAAACCAAAAACAAACUAGAAUUCGAAACAAUUUUUUUUCUAUCACUUUUAUUGUCUGAUAUCUUCUCUUAUAACUUUAUAAGUGAAAAAUUUAUUCUUAAAAAUAAAAUAAUUCUUUUACUUGGUUAUUAGGAUAUUAAUGUUUUUUUUUUUGCAUGGUGACACAGCUUGGAAUGGGAAGUGCAGUGGAAACAUUAUGUGGACAAGCGCACGGAGCUCACAGAUACGAGAUGCUCGGAGUCUAUCUACAAAGAUCAACGGUGGUUCUAUUUCUCACCGGCCUUCCGAUGACAUUACUCUUCAUCUUCUCCAAACCUCUCCUCACUUCACUCGGCGAGCCAGCUGACGUGGCCUCAAUGGCUUCCAUAUUCGUCUACGGUAUGAUCCCAAUGAUCUUCGCUUACGCCGUCAACUUCCCCAUACAAAAGUUUCUCCAGUCACAGAGCAUUGUCACACCUAGCGCUUACAUCUCAGCCGCCACGCUUGUCAUCCACAUUUUCCUCUCUUGGCUAGCCGUCUUCAAGCUCGGGUGGGGCUUACUUGGCCUCUCAGUGAUUCACAGUCUCUCGUGGUGGAUCAUUGUUCUUGCUCAGGUUUUGUAUAUUAAGGUGAGUCCAAGAUGUCGCCGGACUUGGACCGGGUUUAGCUGGAAAGCCUUUGAUGGUCUUUGGGACUUUUUCCGGUUAUCGGCGGCUUCCGCCGUCAUGCUCUGCCUUGAGUCUUGGUAUGCUCAGAUUCUUGUUCUUCUCGCUGGACUUCUCAAGAACCCUGAACUCGCUUUGGAUUCUCUAGCUAUCUGGUAAGUGGAUCAAAACCUUUUGAUCUGCAUUAAAAUUUAGCUUUAAUUUUAAUAUAAGAAAUGAAUCAUUUAUAUAAUAUUAAUGAAGACUGAAGAACAAUAUGAAUCUGAACAUAGGGUAAUAUUUUAUGCUAUAGUUUUAGUUUUUGACCUUAUGAAACAAAGAAUACUAAUAACCAAUAAACAAUUCUUUAGUAUAUACUUCCAAAACUCUUUAGGAUCCAUCCAUGAAAUGUAUUAACUGAUAGUGAGAGUUAAGAACAUUGAAUCUGAACAUUUGAUUAAAUAAUUGGUACGAAUAGAAAUACACUCAAUCUGAUCAAACUAUUGAACUUUUUGUGGUUUCUGUAAAAUAAUAAUUUUUGAUUUUUUUGGCUACUCUCUCCGUAAUCACCUUUUUGAGAAACGCAAGUCACGUUAGUCUACUCAGAAUGUAAUGAUUGUUGUCGUAUUAUGGACUAGUAAUAGCAAUUAGAGUUCGCCACGUGUAGUUAUUUUUUCCGUUAGUCUAAUCUCAGCGUUUUUUUGACGUUUCUUGUGAGCCUAAACCGCGUGUCGUUUCCUUUGGUAAACAAACGGCAUGCUUUCUUUUGGCGGAAAAAGGUGUUGAGUACUCAACUCAAGUGUUGAAUACUAAAUUAUUCUUUUUUUUGGCAGCAUGUCAAUUUCAGCAAUCUCUUUCAUGGUCUCCGUUGGAUUCAACGCAGCUGCAAGGUUGGUCAAAAAUGAUUUGACAAUUUUAGUUAUUUAUGGAAUUGUUUUCGUGCAAAUGGUAACACAUAAACGUAAUAUUUUAAUUAAUAUCUGUCUUUUUUCUAAUUACAGCGUGAGAGUUAGUAAUGAAUUAGGAGCUGGAAAUCCAAGAUCAGCAGCAUUUUCAACCGCAGUAACUACAGGAGUGUCGUUUUUACUAUCACUGUUUGAAGCCGUACUGAUCCUCUCGUGGCGCAAUGUCAUCAGCUACGUUUUUACAGACAGCCCAGCGGUUGCUGAAGCUGUAGCCGAGCUCACUCCUUACUUGGCUAUUACCAUAGUUCUCAAUGGAGUUCAACCUGUUUUAUCUGGUAUAAUAAAGUAGAUAUAUUAUAUGAAAACACCAAAUAAAUGAACUAUUUGUAAAGUGAUUAACAACAAAGGUAACUAAAACAGGCGUUGCCGUUGGAUGUGGAUGGCAAGCAUUUGUGGCGUACGUUAACAUAGGAUGUUAUUACAUUGUGGGGAUCCCUAUUGGUUAUGUUCUUGGUUUCACCUAUGACAUGGGAGCUAAGGUAAAAUUUCUUUGAUUGAAAGAAUCUACAUUCUAAUCAACGAUUAAUGAUUGAUCGGUGUAAAGUGAAAAUAUAAUUAAUUGGUUAAUGAUUUGCUGCAGGGAAUAUGGACAGGAAUGAUUGCGGGUACGCUCAUGCAAACUAUCAUCUUACUCAUUGUCACUUUUCGAACUGAUUGGGAUAAAGAGGUAUAUUACUAAUUACUCCACACACACACACACACACAUAUAUAUCUUUGUGAUAUGUUUCUUAACUAAAACUCAUGUUUUAAUAUUUUUAAUGUCAGGUGGAGAAGGCUUCACGACGAUUGGACCAGUGGGAAGAUACACAAGCGCCGCUUCUUAAGCAGUAAACAAAAAUGAUAUUUUCAAAAAGAAAAUUUAUAUUGGGGGAGAAUUAGAGGUCAAUUAAAUAUAUUUUUCUUCUUCUGGUCUUCUCCAAAUUGAUUUAAAAGGGAUAAAAACCUCAUUAGUUAAUCAAGAGAUCUGUUGAUUAAUGAAUUGGAAAACCGAUAGUUUUCUGAGGGGUUAGAGUGAAGAGAAGGGAGUCAAUGUAUAUUUUUUUUGUAAGAUGAGUUAAUAUUGAGAAGUGAGAAUGAAAUGUUGAAAUAAAAGAUGACGUCUUGCGUGUAAAAGCAACUUUGUUGUAACCAUUUAUUGAAAUGGGGGCAAAUCAAGUAAUGAAUCAUUGGUUUUAUGUACACAACAUUUUCCUUGGAAAUCCUUCAAGAUUUACAAGUUAUAAGUUUACGAAUUUAUAGUUCACUUAAACUUCAACGAAUGAUGUAAUAGUUGGUAAAAUAAUUGAUUGUUCGGUAAUAUAUCUGCUCAUUUAUUAACAUGUACAAAAUAUGUUUUUUUUUGUGUGGUGUGAGUGUGUUUUUGCAUCUAAAGUUAAGGUUAAAUGAAAGAUGUAAUAUUAAACUAAUUGAACGAAUGACGUACUUGGUAAAUAAAAGUCAAAAUUUUAUUGUCUAUUUUUUUUUACGAAUAUCAUUUUAGUGAACUAAAUUACUCAUAAGAAACUGACAAAGAAAGAACAAAAUGUGCAUGAGAUCAAUGAAUAUCUUCAUGCGAAUGUUCAAAGCGAACGUCAUUGAAUUUGUCAAUUUGGGUUUGAUAGAUAUUAAAAGGUUUGCUUGUCAAUGUUCUCUUUUGUCAACAAAAUGUUAUUGUUAAGUAUUUGGAUUUGGAUUUGAUUUGCUUAUGUUUCAUUUUUCUUAAAUAAAUUUGAGCUGUUUUUACGUUACUAUAACUCUGUCUUCUAGUUGGAGAUAACCAAACCAUGACCAAAAGAAGUCGUGAAUAUUGCUGUAGUGAUAUAUAGCUUUUGAGUUUUGAGCUUGCCCCACUAGUUUUCCUCAAUGGUUCCUAGCUGUCUGCUUGUUUUUAAUCUUCAACUCCUCCUGACAUGCAUCAGUGGUGUGAAGUUGUUUAAUCAAAGAUUCACAAAACGCCUCUUCCUUCUGACAUAAAUCCUUGUUGUUCUUCAAAUUAUCAAAUGUUAAGAUUAGGUAAGCGCCUAAUCUCUUAUCCACUUGGUUAAUUUUGUCAAUAAACCUCUUUUAAAUUUAUGUUUACACCCAAAACAAGAAAUUAAAUGAAUAGAAUUAUCCAAGAUGACUAGAUGAUCCACAUGCCAUGCAUAUUAUUAAUGUUCCUAUAUAAAGUUUAAAAGCGGUUUACUGUAUGCAUGCAUAUUAUUUAUAUGGCCACUAUAGAUUUAAAGACCAACUAUAUGGUCAGUCGCUAUUAUUUAUAGUAUAGUGUUUGUUCCUACAUGAGAAGAGUCAACAUUACUAUAUGUUUGGGUCUAUCUUCUACUAAAUCGGCUAGUUUUGUCUGGUGAUACAGAGACGUACUCUGACGAAAAAGAAAAAAAAAAGAUUCCAACUUGUUCAACAAGAAUUUAAAAUGUUACUUGGUUGGAUGCGUAUGAGAUUCGACCUCGUAUGAUUUGAGGGAGACAAUAUUGAAAAGAUGAUAGAGACUGGGAAUCAUCUAAACUUGGGUAUAUGGAUUCAUUCACAAUCAUGCCUAUUUGAUAUGGUGACCUCACCCUCCAACUUAUUAUAAUUUCUUCUUAAAAAUAUACAUUAUGGCGAGUUCACGCCCCUAGCACCAAAAUAAGAUAAUCAAGUCUACGAUCUUUUAUUUCUAUAUAUUUUCUCAAUUAAUUAAAGUAAAAAAUACAUUUAACGAAUAAUCAGUUCAGAAAUAUUUAUUCAAUUUUUUUUUUACAAGUUCCACUUGCUUAUAGGUUCGUUGUCUUUGUUUUUGGUAUUACUAUGCUAAUUUAGUUUAGUGCAUGUGAGAAUAUUCUCGAAAAACCUAAAACAAAUUAACCUGUGGUGGUAGUCUAGUGGCGCUUGAGAAAAAUAACCUAAUACGGUGAACUUUGAUUUAAACUCCACUGGCUACAUAGAUAUGGGUUAUUGCUUGGCUUAUUUGAAUACCUAGGAAAAAGUCUAUCUGUGAGUUGUAUUUCCAUCCGAGGAUUAGGUCUAUGUCUUUAAUAGAUUCGGAUUUAACUCUAUUUUUUUCAAAAAGAAAACCUAAAACAAAUUAAUUUUCCUCGAACAAGACCAAGGAGCUAGUUGAUAUAUUUUUUCUUUUUUUUUGAGCUAGUUGAUAUUAACUUUUUAUACAUAAGAAACCACGUGAUAUACAGUUUUACUGUUGCAAUGAAACUUCUACGACGGCUGUAAAACUAAAAUUAGUCAACACUUUGGGUCUAAUAUUAUUAGAAAACAUAAUGCUUUACAUAUAUGCGUUCCGGCUAAAAUCCAAAUAACCAAGUGGUCUAUGGGCCAUACGAAAUGUCGUACUGUAUAUUGAACUUUUUUGCCCCAAGAAGGAAGUGUAAUUAAUCGUUAUUUUUGCCAUUUUUUUCCUAGAACGAGAAAUCACUCCAGUCUCCACAGAUAUUUAUAUAAGAAAUUUAUAGUCAUAUUAUGUUUUCAUAUUCAAAGCUUUAUGAAUGUAAAUAAAUUGGGAAUUGAUACUAAUUAGUCAAAAUAUUAAAGUAUUUACAUAGUUUCAUAUAUUUCCCUGAUAGAAAUUAGUUGCACAUGUCACAAUCGGUCCAAUUUAUUCAAAUAUUAAACUGUUGAAAAUAUUCACCUUACAGACAAUGAAAUUGAGAAAAUUCCAUUGAGAAAAUUCCACAUGCAGACACAAAAUAAAAAUAAAAUUUUAUAUAAAUUGUGUUAAGUUGAUUAGCGGAAAAAUUGGAUUCUCAAAAUUCAAACCAGUGACAGAGAAGAAAAUAAAAGAAACCGAACAUGAGAGUUACACUACGAGACUGUUAUGCGGCCUUGGUGAAAAAUCAAUCAAGCUCCAUAUCAUCUGAUUUUCUACUUCCAUGUGAUCCGUUAUGUUCCGAUUUGGUAGGAAGAGAGUUUGAUUUCCCAAUGUACUUGCACGUCCUGCAACGCAUUCAAGAUCCUUUGUAGAUUCCAUCUUCAGAUCUUGCUCUACUAAAGAGCUCUCUGUUUGGCCUCCACUAACUCAUCCUUUGUCAAUGCACCAGAGACGUUCUUAACAUCUGGAAUCUCCGUUCUUUUGAUAGCCUUAGGAUCAUUCUACACAUUAAAAACUAAUCUCAGCUUUUGUGCAGAUCACCAAUCAUCGAUUAUUUCAGAAAUUAAUGGAGAUGCAAUGAUUCGAAAUUAGCUUUCUAUAUGUCAGCUCUUCUUUAAAUGGUGUUAAAUCAUACUUACAGUAGAGCUUGAAGUGUCAUCCUUCGUCGCAGAAGAUUGAUGGUUGUUUUCGGAUAUCAUCUCUUCAGAAGUCAUAUUCUCCUUAUGACCUUCUAUUAGCUGUUGCUCAGAAAAAAAAAGAAAGUUUAGCCUAAAGCUAGGUAGAAACAUUAAGGCUACAUUAUCUGCAGAUGAUUAGAUAUAAAAAUGUACUCACAGAAGCUGAAUCGACGCUGACAAUUCCGUGGAGAUUUAGCUGAACUCUUACUUUGACACGUGCUGCUUCUCCGUGGGAAAUUUGAAAAGGACCAAUCUACAAAAUAUUACACAACAGACUAAAGGGUUCCAUAAAAUAUGCAGAGCCUAACCACCCAAAGCAUACUUAGAGCUAUCAAGCCUAAGAGAUAUAAGCCAUUGAUUAUGCGAUGAGCCUACCUCAUAAUCUCUAACUCGAAACACUGGACUAAGCAUCGCACAUCCUCGAGCUACGCACUCACUCGCAUUCACAGUCCUCCCUAGCUCCCUCUUAAACAACGAGCUCAGCAUCUUAGAUACAGCUGGGAUCCUAGACCCCGCGCUGCUUCGCGACCGGGAUUACGCAGUUCUCGUUCCCGAGAUCGAAUCCCACCACACUCAUUUUUUUGUUUCCAGCAAAUCUCAAACACUAGGAUGAUUCUAAUCUACUCACUGAGAAGAAACUGGAUCAAUGUGCGAUAGUUAUUCAUAGGGGAUUUUAACAAGGGGAUAUUAUAUACGUAAGCAUUGUGAAAUGUUUACGUAACAUAGGGGAUUUUAACAAGGGGAUAUUAUAUACGUACGAUAAGAUAAGAUAAUCAAUGUAUUUUCAUUUAGAUCCUUAACUAAAUUUAUUUGCAUUUAGAUCCUUACUCCUAUAUGUGCUCCUCCUCCGGUUCAUUUUCAUCGAGUCUCAAGCGUCGUUUUACAUGGUCAUGGCUUCUUCUUCUUCAUCUUAUCUCGCUGCGUUUCCUUGUUUGAAUCCUUCUUCGCCUCUCACUCCUUCAAGAUUCUCACAAACUCUAAAUUCUCCUUUCCUCUCUUCCCCUUGUUCUGUUUUGAACCUAAAACACGCAUCUUCGCUGCUUCUUAAAUCGAGGAUUCGAAUCUCCUCCUCUCGUCGUGCGCCGACAAAAACACUCGUUGUUUUGUCUGCCCAGACUAGUCUCCUGAAAGGUUUUGUCCCAAUUCUCUCUUUGCGAAUUUUAGUUGUGGUUUUGAUUGCUAAGUAACAAACGGCUCACUAAUCAUUAUUAGAACAAUGAUUGGAUUAAGCGUUUAAUUGUUUUGUGUAACGAGUUUACUAAUCAUUAUUAUUAGAACAAUUUUCGAAUUGAUUGUGUGCAGUUGAAAUGCUUAUAGCGCAUAAAUAAACCAAGUUUAUCUUCGUAGAUUGAUUAGUAAAAACUUGAUUGUUUGUACAUUUCUAGUUAGAGAUGCAUUGAGUCUCUGCUAAUGUUUGUAUAAAUAGUUCUUAGAACCGCAUGGAAUAUUGGGAAAGAUGGAAUCGAAGCAGGAACCAACCUAGUUCCUGUGAGCUCUCUCUUAGUCUUUUGUCUUUGACUGUUGUUGGAAUCUUAAAUGUUUUUUUUUUCUGUUAGUCACACAUUUCGUUGUCAAUUUGCUUGGAAGGUUUCUGUGCCUAGACCUGUUGCUAGGAUCUCAGUGACUAUUGCAGCAUUGGCGGUUUCAUUGUUUGUUCUCAAGUCCUUUCUAUCAACUGCUUUCUUUGUAUUGGUAUGUUUUUAACCCUCCCUCCCUUACUUUUUUUUUUAUAUAGCUGAUUUUUUUUUGUAUACUCUCUAUCUAAAGCCAGCCUCCAUUGAGUGUCUUUUUUUUCAGGGUACAAUGGGAUUUGCAUAUUUCUUAUUCAUAGCCUUGAACAAAGAUGAAGCUCCUAAACAGAGAGGUGGAGAAGAUAAUAUUUCUGGUUCCAAACCAAUGGAUUAUGAUCCACUUGAAGAAGCAAAGAAAAUUAUGGACAAGUACAAGUAAGGAGCUUAUCUGUUUUUUUUUUUCUCAUAUGAGAUCUCCAAUGUAUACGGAUAAAACACUUUGGCAAUGUUGGAUAUGUGGUUUGAUGUUAAAGAUAAAACUUGUAAUAGAGAGAUCAAGAGAAAAUUCACAAAACUAUAUAUAAAUCAAACUUCGAGAGUGAAAAUAGGCCUAUGUAGUCCAGUUGUUGCCCCACCGUGGAACAUCUUCUUGAACGCUCUCAAGCCGCCUUGUGAGUGCUUUCGGAUUCCGCCAAAUCUAAUGGUGGAUGCUAUGCUGCGAUGUAGAUUAGCCAAACUGUUUCCGAUCAUGACUUUCAAUCGGAAAAUCUUCAUACGUAGAAACAAUAACGACGGAGGAGAACGAUGAGAAAUCAAGUCGGCUUCUUGAAGCUUUUUGUAGAUCAAGAACUUGGCUCGCCGGUGAAGUAACUCUUCUGGGUCUUCCUUGUUCAUCUUUGAGUAAUCGCAUGGCCUUUUGAAAAGGGUCAUUUUCAUCCUUUCGUGUUUUUUUUUCUUCCGGCGAUGACUUUGUCCUGAGCGAAGAGGUAGAGAGAUAUCGGAUUGAGGAGAUGAGUUGAGCUGAGAAAGUAUUUAUAGUCAUUGCAUGAAACAGUGCUACUGCACUAAUUUGUAACUUGUAUACGUGGUUUUUCUUCAAAGUUAUAUGUCUUAUUAAAAUCUUUAUAAUAAUACAGUUUAUUUAUAAGUCAAAUCACUGUGGCAAUGAGAUAUGCUAAAAUAUUCAAAUAUAUACAAAGUCGUAUGAGCUUAUUUUAUAGUACUUAAUGAACAAUUAUAUACCUACAAACACAUGAACCGAUCGAAAAUGCAUAAUGUUAUUAUAUAUUUAACAUUAUACAGCAGAAGAAAAACUACUUUGGAAUAAAUAUUAAGAAGAUAGUAACGAAGCAUUCUAUUAAUAGAUAAUAUCAAUGCGACCAAACAUGCAUACAAAAGCAUAACAUAUAACAAACCCGACGUGACCGCUCCAGUUCGAAUCUAUCCAUCAGUCCCUUGAUAUGAUCUGAGCUUUGAGCGAAUUCUUCAUCACAACGGUAAACGCGUAAGUUUCUGUCGGGUCGGGUGGAGAAUCCGGAACAGAGAUCCAUUUAAACGAAUGGAUCAUCCUAGCAAGCAUCAAGUUGAUGUGGAGAAUCCCUAACGACCAAGCCGGGCAGAUCCGACGACCCGCACCAAAAGGCAACAUUGUCACGCCACGUGUUCCGGUCCAAUCAGCAUUAACACCGUCUCCAGCUGGUAAAAACCUCUCCGGUCGAAACUCACCCGGAUCCGACCAAAUCUCCGGGUUCUCAGUAACCCAAGCAGUGUAAAAUUCCACAUAUGCCCCUGACGGAAUAUCAUACCCGCCAAGCUCCGUAUCUUUCACGGCGGCGUGAGAGAGGAGAAAAUGUCCUGGGGGAUGUCUCCUGAGAGUCUCUUUCACUAUUGCUUCCAAGUAAGGCAUUUUCGCCACGUCAUCCUCUUCAACGACGCCGUUUUUGCCCACAACUCCGACAACUUCCUCGUACAGCUUCUCUUGUAUGUUUUGGUCCGUCGCUAGAUGAAGUAACGCCCACUCAAGCGUAGUAGCGCUAGUGUCCGUACCCGCCGAGACAAUCUCCGAACAUAGAGUCACAAUCUCUUCAUCUUUAAGCUCACCGCCUCUCUCGACAGGCUUCAAAGCAAACAGAGAAUCCACGUAAGCUGCACCGAUAGGACUCACCAUCUCUUCGUUGGGACUCUCUUUUGCCUCAACAAAUGCACGACGGUUUUUAAUCAAUGGCACGAGACUUUCGAGCUGCGUCUUCCUUAGCUCUCUCGCUUCUCUAACUUGACGGCGAAACAACGGAGUUAAAACCGGUAAAAAGUCAGGUAACGUCGGAGAAGUUAUAAGCAUGACGUCCUUAAGAACGUUCUCUAUGUUCUUGAUCUUCUCCUCGCUGAUCUUGGCUCCGAAGCAAAGACAUAUCAAGAUGCUACAAAUCGUUAGCCUACAUUGACUCAUAACUUCGACGUAACCUCUCUCAAAACUCUCCUUUUGAAUCCUCUUCAUGUGAUUCUCCAUAGCCCACGUCCUUAUCCACGAGCAUUGCUUCACUCUCGUCGGGUUUACGAGCUCCGUCACAAAGUUCCUCCUAAGAAUCCGCCACAAAGAUCCGUACUCAGCCGAGUUUAUAGCGCAUUUUCCGACACUAAACAUGAGCCGGAUAGGCGAGUCUGGAGGCCUGGAAGCGAAAGUGGGGCCACGUUGGACUAGAGCCUCGUGGAUGAGUUUUUCGUCCGUGACGAUAAUCAUUGUACGUUGUCCCAUUUGCAUGGUGAAUAUUGGACCGUACUUUUUACGUAGGUCGCGCAUUAGGAAGACGAAAUGGCGACGUUGGGAUAUGACUUGGAUCGGUUUCCGACUAGUGGCCAUCCUUUUGGUCCUGGCGGGAUGUUGAGGCGGCAUUGGCUGCUUCUGCCGGAGGAGUAACGGCGCCACCAUAGGUUGAGGAAAUAGAGAGCAAACAAGAAUAUGAAAACAUCAGUAAGAUCCAUAUUUGUUUACUUACUAUUUAAAAGAUAUAGAGAGAGAUGGGAGAUGAAUGAAGAAGACUUAUAGAUGGAGUUUAGAGCAGUCUUAUGGUGAAUGGAGAUUUAGGAUUCUUUAUAUAGAGAAAGCAUACAUUCUAUGUGUGAUGAACAGAUCAGCCACAUGAACACAACGAGUAAUUGGUCUCACCAACUAUCUGUGUGCAUUUACUUCAUACUGUACAUAAGUGAUAUAUGAUGGUUCAAAUUUGAAAUUAUGUUUUAGCCUAACAAAUGAUUAGUUAUUAGUAGGAGUGUAUGACAGUAUUAUUAAUCUAAUCAAGUUAUGUUUUAUAUAAUAACAGAUAUACAUGUUCAUAUAGGGGACAUACUGGUCCUCAAAUUUUUCUUCGGCAACAUUAAUUAGCAAGAAGGAUUAAUAGUAUUAUAUUAUUUGCAAGCCUCCAUCGUGUUGAUAUAGAAUCCUGUUAUUAUUAGUUUCAACUUUCAACAAAUGUCGACAAAUGACAAAUAUAUAGUUGGAACGCUAUUUCAAUGUACGUAAAAUCUAUAUGCAUAUGAGUUGGUCCUUGUGUUAGAAGACAAUGGUCUCUGGGUCUUGAUUACCCUCUGUAGAAUUAACAGAGACAGGUGGAAGUUAGUUGGCCAAGUGUUAAUGUCAUUAAUGGGUCAAUAUUCGUAUCUAUAUUUAUUUUAUUUUCAUUUUCAUUAUGUACUUUUCAUCUCAUUUCUCAAAGCUAUAGCUAGCCUACAUAUCAAAAUUAAUGUUUGUAAUCCGUAGGUACAUGGCACUGUGUACGUUUCCAAAAUUAUCAAUUAUUCACCCCGGGGAAAUUCACCUACUUAUAUUGUUGAACGAAGACGACAUUCAAUACAUAUAUUUUAAAAAUUAAUGGUGAUAUAGCUAGAAUUGUGGCAACAGUACACAUUUUCGUUGAAAUGUUAAUGUCUAUGACCGUAUUGUUUGCCAUCAUAUGCAUAGGCCUCGCAAGAACAAUCCGCCUGACAGGUCGUGGCACAUGUAGUACUGUAGUAGUAGUAACAAAACUUGUUGUUGGACCAGUGGCUAAUUUCAUGUUCUGAAAAGAAAGAAACUCUUUAUUUUUCAGGUCACACUGAAGCUUGGCGUUGGUUACACAAGUAACACAACGACCAACUAAAUCAUUCGAGUCCGUUCUGUAGGGAACAGCACAUUUUCAGGAGAAGACUUCUGGCGAAUUCUCGUUGCAGAUUCCAAACGACCCACAGUAACCUUAACCAUCACAUCUCUCCUUGGGUGCAUCCCAUGGCAAAUACCACAUCACCAUUUUGUCCAGCAUAUUGUACUGCCUGAACUGCCCCGAAGCAUCCAUAACCAAACGAAAUGCUUCAGUCACGUACUGAAUAUGCGAUAUAAGACUCAUGUACAUUCAUUUCGAAGGUCCAGUUACUCGUACGUGCCUAUAACUUCACUGAACGCUCCAAGUCGGUCACCCACUUGACCAAUAUGACUUGGAGCCAUUCCAAACCAUGAUGUGAGAGUGAGGGUCAACCCUGAGUGAGUAUUGACCAGGUGAUUGAUCUUCUGCCCUGUUCCUAGAAGUGAGACCUUGGCUUUCCAAUGUGCUAUUGUUAAACCAGAUUUUAGCGCCAGGAAGCCAAGUAUCUGAGGGAUGAUCAAAACUGGGCCACAACACGGCGGCAGAUGAACUGGAACCAUCUCUCAGGACUAGAUUACCGUUAUCAUGUAGAACCGCUUGAACAUUGGCGUUAUUGUCGGUAGAAUUUAGACCGGUGGACCAAACACUAUUCUAUAAUCGAAACUAUUAUGAAGAAGUAAGUUUCCGUUCAAGAUUUUUAAGGAGAUUCAAACCGUGUAUAGAGCAGGAGAUUGUGGAUUUGCCACCCAAACUAUAGUUCGUGGAGAGAACUGUUUAUACCACAUGCCUCUAUAGUGGUAAUAAGAAGUACCUGGUCUGAAAAGGCCGAGUUCAGAAAACAUCACCCUCAAAUACAAUGGUCUGGUCUCCUGAAAGAGAUUCACUGAUGGAGAUUGUGUCAACUGCAGAGGAAACAUGUGAAACUUGGAGAGACCAAAAUAUUACAAAAAAUCUGUAGGAAGAUAUGAAGAACACAUUCUCUUUGAAGGUGGCCAUGUUCGUGUGGAACACAGAAAGAAUUGUGGUGAUUACACAAUGAAAGAAGUGAUGAUCCACGAGUCAACUCAGUCAAACAUGUUGAAAAGUAUGAACAAUAAUUAAAGCCGAAGACUUUCUGUAGAUAAAGAUUGAAGGAAGCCAAAUUACUCUAUCUCAAUAUUUUAUUUUAUUUUAUAAUUUUAUAAAGUCUCUUUCUUCUCUUAUCUUAUCAGAGAAUCAAAGGUUAAUCGAACGAACGUCUUUAUCACAUAGAGAGAUUUAUUUUAUUUUAUUAGUAACAACAGAUUUUAAUACUUAAAGAUUCUAAUUGACGAUAAUUGAUAAAUAUCAAGAAGCCUUACACUAGGUAACUGGUAGGUUGAAAUAAUAGAUAGUAUUUAUAUUUCAUUCAUAGUGAUGGUUGUGAUUGCUUCCAUUCGAUUGCAAGUAUAAUGUGGCAUCUCGGUGAAUCAACAAAGAGAAGAAGGCAUGCCUCGUUGAAUGAGAGUGUCUAGAUCUUUGUCACCACGGCCACUGCAAUUCACGACCACUUUGGCACCAUCGCGCAGAGUAGGAACAAGUUUGUCGAGGAACGCCAGCGCGUGAGAUGCUUCUAAAGCUGGGAUUAUUCCCUCCAAUCUGCUCAAUAACAUGCACGCUAUAAUAGAAGAUUAUGUAAGUAAUUAAUGAAAUUCUGGUAAGAAUUACAAAGAGAAAAAAAAAAGAAUUACAAAGAGAGCAUAUUAGUAAGUAACAUAAAUAGAGAGGGACCUUGAACGGCUUCUUGGUCUGUUGCUGUGUAGAACUCGGCUCUUCCGCUUUCUUUCAGAAAGCUAAUCUCUGGUCCAACUCCGGGAUACUCUAAUCUGCGACCAAUCAAGCAUAUGUGAGGCUUAGUAUGUAACAUCUUCUCUUUGGUUCACAUAAUUAAUUUGGUUAUCCAACCGUAUAUAAACUUAGUUUGGAGAUUUUGAUGCGGCCAGGCAAAAAAAGGGUUCAAUCAGACCGGUUCAUAACCGCUUACGAGAGGUGACUUGCAUGUGAUAAACGUGUAAACCUUUUUAACGAUAAACAGACGUACAAGUAACGUUAAACAUGCAAAAGUACAAAUACAAGUAGAAGAUUUCUUAUUUGCUAUUCAUGUCAUGCUUUGACUAUAUAUUAAUUUAUCUAUUUAAAAGAAAAUCAAGAACUAUAAUAUACCAGACUUAUUUAUUUAGUUUCAUCUUUCUUAAAAGACUAAUUUAUAUACCUAGACAUAUUUAUCUAAUUUAGUUCAUAUUUUUUAAGAGAUUUUUAAAGACUUUCAUCAUCACUAAAUAGUGGCUAUUAACUCCAGGAUUAUAGUUUGAGCAGCUGUUUAAGACAACAUAUAGGACAUAAUUUAACCACUUACCCUACUCCUAUGGAAUGUGGUUUAAGUAUCUGUCCUUGAUCAUCUUGCAAUAAGUAGCUCAUGGAGCCAUGAUACACACCAACAUCUCCAACGGCCAAAGUAGCUGAAUGUUUCCCUGAAUCCAGACCCAGUCCCGCGGCCUCUACCCCGACUAGUCGCACAUCCUCAUCCCCAAGAAACUCAUGGAACAGUCCCAAUGCGUUUGAGCCACUCCCCACACAAGCCACCAACACAUCAGGUUUACCACCCCAUAGUUGUUUUGCUUGUCUUCUUGUCUCUUUCCCAAUCACGGAUUGAAACUCGCGUACCAUUAACGGACUUGGAUGGGGUCCUACCACCGUCCCGGAUAAGUAGUAUGUGGUUUCUAGGUUUCCAACCCAAUUUCGAAUAGCCUCUGAACUUGCAUCUUUAAAUGUUCCUUCAACUGAUUUCACCUAUUAAAAUCAGGAUAAAUUAAUUUUAUGUUCAGUUUGACCCCAAAAAAUUAGUUAUGUGUUCCGCAUAUGUGAAUAUUUUGUUGUUUUGAGAGAUUUAUUUGAAAUAAAAAUCAUUGUUUUAGAAAUCAAAGAAAAAUAGUGUUAGUUUAGAUUUUUUCAGCGAUUUUUGCAUACACAAUUUUAUUGUUAAUUAUCGAUAUUAAUUUCUUGCUCGAUUAUGUAUAAGAUCAUAUUUAGAAAGGGAAUGGACCUUCACUUUCUUCAUGAGCUUAUCAAAUAUUUUUUAAUGUAUAUAUAUAUAUAUGUUAAACAAACUUUUUUUUGAUCAAACUAAACUUGCAUCAAGCUUAUGUUAUCCUCAUGUUAUGUUUGUUUGGUUGGCUGUCAAUAGUCUCUUUAUAUCCUUCUUUAUUCGAGUGUAAACAUAUGUUAAACAAACUAUAAUAUUUUUUACCAAAAAAAAACUAUAAUGUUUUUUUUUGAAAUGACUCUAAUGUUUUUUUUUUUCUGGAUAAAUAAACCUAGUUCCUGUUGCAAGACCGGCUCCGGUUUCGGCUAGGUUAUGAGUUUAACUAUAGAGUAAUUACUAGUUAUACCUGAGCACCAAGCAGUUUCAUGGAAAGUACAUUAGAGGAUUGUUUCUCUAUAUCAGUGGUUCCCAUGAAAACAGUACAUUCCAUGGAAAGCUUCGCACAAGCAGCCGCCGUGGCAACCCCAUGUUGACCGGCUCCUGUUGCUGCCACCACACGCUUGCAACCAAGCCGCCGGGCAAUCAUCGCUUGACCGAGAGCAUUGUUGAUUUUAUGGGACCCACAGUGGCUAAGAUCUUCCCUUUUCAGGUAUAUUUCGGGUCCACCUCCGGUGGUUUGAGAUAUGUUCUUGUAGUGUUCGGUUAAACGUCCGGCGAAGUAGAGAGGCGUUUCUCUUCCUACGUAGUCUCUUAACGCUGUGGUAAGCUCCUCCUAAUUACAAUUAAAAGCACACAUAAGAAAACAUUGCACUGAUUAAUUAUCAUGCUUAAUACAUGUGAAAUUUACAUGCUAAAUGAUGACGUCAUUAAGUUAUUUUCUUACAUGUGACACUAUGUUGCCUUUUUAUUAAUGAGAUUAUUGAAGGAGUUUCUCAAAUUCUGAGAUAUUAAAAGUAUUAUUUUAUAAAUAUUUUAUUUUGUAAUUUUUUGAAAUUUUUUGUGAGAGACACCAUUGGUGCCUUAUGUGAAAAGUAGGUAAUGUGUCGGGAUGUAUGUUAUUUUUAUUGUUUGAGAAGGACAAUACUAAGUAGUCUCAACUGUUAUGUUUCCAGUCCUCUUGUCUUUUUGGAUAAUGCCAGCUGAUUUCGAAUCUAUAAACCAUAUAUUUGUUCUAUGAUUAUGUUUUCCGGUGUUGACAAAAAAUGUCUACAAAAAAGAUCUGUCUUUAGGUUAUGUAAAUUAAUCUAUUAUCUUCAUAACCUAAAGGUCAAAUUAUCAAUGUUUGUUCUCAUUCCUUUGAUCCAUUAAUUUCUUUAUAAAAAAAUGCUUAUUUCAUAAAGACAAAUAUUAAUUUGUUUAGAUUUGAAAUGUGCAGUUUAUUUGUAAAAUAUAUGAAUUUGAUAGUUGACAAUAAAAUCUCUUUUCCAAUAUUCAUACGAUCAACAGCAUGGAAUACGAGUUGUAAAAUUUUCCUGUCGAUUACAGUGACCUAAUUGGUUACAUUAUGUAGAGCAAAGUGAUGAAUUAGCCAUUAAGCCUUGCAAAACCAUGAUAUUUAAUGAAAUAGAGGUGGUGAGUUACGUUAAUGUGAUAUAAAUAUAUGAUUGGUUUGAGAUAAGCUUAAUCAAUAUAUGAGAAAGGCCAACCUGAAAUUCAUGAUCGUUCAAAACAAAAUCAAAUUCAUCUUCGAGAUCUCUCAGGGGAGACAUCAAUGUCUCCGGUACAAACUUUCCACCGAACCUCCCGAAUCUACCGUUACCAUCGCCACGAAGAAAUUGGCUCUCGUCUGUUCUUGUUGGGACAGAACCCAACGGUGGAUCACUCGUACGGAGUACAUUGCUUACACGGUGUUGUCUUUUGAUGGGAACUCCACAAACAACAGAGUUUAUCAUACGGUGGUUUCUUGUCAGAACCUUAAAAAGGGGUUGCCCUCGUAUUUGGAUUUUGGUCGACGACAUGUUUCUCUCUCUCUUUUUGUGUGGAAGUACUGAUGUUUUAUUAUAUUAGUGACUUUUCUUAAACAUUUGUGUUGACGAGUACCUUUUUUUAUAGUGAGUAGAGGGGUAUAUGUUUUUUGUUAUGCAUCAUCCAUUGUGAUUUACAUGUUUAACAUGUUGUUAAUCUUUACCACUCUCUCCCAUGAUUUUGAAAAACAACGUUGUCAAAGUGAAAAAAAGUGAUUUCGAAUGAAUUAACUUUACGAAAAUUAGUAUACCAUGAAGGCCCGCAUUCUCAGCGAUAUGAUACAUUUCUACUAAGAGAGAAAUUUAUUUUAGGUUUCCUAAUCGAAUCAGGGUUAUUUAUAACUUUUAUGAAAAGAUCCAAAGGUUUAUUAACAAGUUUUAAUAAAAGAUACAGCACUUUCAUAUUGACAAAAUAUUUGUUUUAUAACGGGACAAGUACAUGUUAGUUUUAUCCAUGCUGUUUAUUAUUAUUCGCUUUUUGUAUAUAUGAAUGUUAAGAAAUAUAUAUUCGUUUUACCUGGUAGGUAUCCGAAAUCUGUAUACGAGUCGUAAUUAUAUAACUAGAUUUGCGCGGAUGUUUGUUUUUAUUUUUCUAUAUAUAAAUUAUUGUUUUAGAACAUAAGUGGUAUAUAUUUUUAACAUUAAUCAUACAUUUAAAUGUUUAUAUAACUAUUUCAAAUACAAUACUUUAUAAUUUAUAUGUUAUAAUUAGUAUAUUCAUGAGAAAAUAUAUUUGAAAAAUAUUUUGUAUUUAAUUUAUGCUAAAUUUUGACCCGUCUUUCAAAGUUGCAUUUCUUUUUACUAAUAUUUUUAUGUUUAUUCAUUUUAGAUAAUAUAUUAUUGUAUAUAAAAAAAGUCAAAGAUAUGUUAAUUUUUAGACAUGUAUUAUAUAGUUUGCUAAUUUUAAGCCGUUAUAUCAUCAUCUUAUAUUUUUAAAAUAAAUAAUUUAUAUUUUUAAAAUAAAUAAUUAUAUUUAUAAAAAUAAAAUUUAUAAAUUUAUCAGUUGAAUAUACUUUUAUCAUAUUUAUUUAAGUGUAAUAAUUGUAUUUUAACAUGAUCAUGCCUAUAAAAUAGAUAAAAUGGGAUAUAAUUUAUUUAUUUUUCAUUUUAUAAACGAUAUAUUUAAAAUGAAAAUAUGUAAUGAUUAAAGUAGUUACAAAGAUUUUAUAUUAUUAGCUUUAAAGAAAUACAUGUUAAUUUUUUACAUAUAUUAUAUAGUUUGCUAAUGUUAACACAUCUUACCAACGUAUUAGAUUUUAUUUUUAAACAUAAAUAUUUUAUACUUACAAAAAUAAAAUACAUAAAUUUAUAAAUUUCAUACAGUUUUAUUAUAUUUAGCUCAAUAUAAUAAUUUCUUUUAAUAUGAUUGAUUAUGAUUAUAUAAUAGAUAAAAUAUUAUAGAAUUUUUUAUUUUUCAUUUUAUAAACGAUAACUGAAUAUAUUAAUGUAUAAUAAUAUUUCAAACUAAUUUCGAAAUUAGUGAAAAUAUUGAAAUAUAAUUUUGAAAAUAAAGAUCAUGUAAAAAACUUUUAAAACAAAUUUGUUAGUAUUUUAAAAUAAAUAUAUUUAUAUUCAAAAUGAAAAUAAAAAGAUAUCAAAAGAUACUUUUAUAAAAGUAUUUUAAAGAUUCUAUGUAUUAUUAAUCUUAAUAAAAUACAUUUAAUAGGAUUUCUAACUGAUGCUUCAAAUUAAAAAAAAUCACAUAUAAAAGGGACUAAAUUCAAAGCUUUUGAGACUAUCCACAUCAGCCAAAAUAUUCUCAUCCAAAAAGAAUUAAAAAUAAAUGUCAUUUAGAAAAUAAUUAACUAACAUACAACUUUUGAUAUUUCUAGAAAUUUUAAAUUUGUAACUGCUAAUUUAUUAAUAGAAUCAUAUAUCUAUAUUGAAUUAUGUUCUAUUUUUAACCGUUAGACUUCAAGGGUAAAUAAAUUAUUAAUUUAUAAUAUAUAUAGUUUAUAACUUUAUAUUGUAAUUAUAAAUAAAGAGAAAAUAAUCGGGAAGGGUGGAGAAGCUCAUGUAAAAUUAUGUAAUUAAAAUGGUAAAAUGGUGAGUAUGAUGAGGUGAAUCUAAGAAAAUUUGUUGUACAAAUUAUGGUGCUUUCUUCGUCCACUAUAAUGAUUUAAAAUAAAAUAUAUAUUCACAUAAAUAAGUCAAUAUUUGUUGUUUUUUUUUUUGGUAAGAUAUUAAGAUUAUCAUUUUCUGAAAGGUUACACUGUUGUUUUUAAACAACUUAUUACAGUAAGGAAACAAAAACAACCAACAACAACUCAAAGUAAAAAAAGCCUUAAAGAGAUCUUAUACAAGAAAUAUAAAAAAGAAGUAGAGAAGAGGAGAAAGAAGAACUUGCCGGGUAAGAGAGGAGACGGUCACGCAUCAUGGAGGAGAAAUCCAAACUUCAGCAGCAAAAGGCUCCCAUAUCAAGCGAGAGAAAGAGCACUCAAAGAAGAGAUGAUGGUGAGUCUCUAUUUCCAGAUUACAAAAGACACACGUUCCUGAGACAUUUAAUCCCCAACGCCUCAAGCGAUCUUGGUUGGCAGUCUUCUCCGCAAAGCCAGCCAUGAUAUAAACGCAUUACGUGGAAUAUGUUCCUUGAACCAAAUAGUCUUGUGCCAAUAUUUAUUGUUGAUAGUGUUUAUAUUUUUUUCUGACAUUAGUAUCCAUAUUUUUUGGUAAACUGAUCCAAGAGAUUAGUUUGUGGCGCUAACCAAACGAGGAUUAUAGUGUUUACUUUGGAAAAAGUAAUAGGUUGAAUGAUAGAUGGCGUGCGUGCCUUUUCACAUGGAAAUCUGCACAUAUAUUAAAAUUGUAAGUUUUGAAUCAUAGAGAAAAUAUAGUGUAUAUGACUGAAGUUGGUCCAUUCCGAAACUAAAGAUGGCUAAAAUUCUUCUUUGUCAAAAUGUAUAGAUGUGAAUCUUAUAUGAAUAGAGUUCUUCAUUGCUUAUAGCAGUGUAAUAAACUCCGUGUGUAAAGGAGAAAAAAUGUUAUAUAAGUGAAAACAAAAAUUAUGAUUUUUUUUUCUUGUGCCUAUAGGCUCUUCGAAAUUUGAAGAAGAAAGAACAUAUUGUGUGAAAAUCUUUGGCUCGGUCAAAUUUUAUCCAGUUGUUUAUAAAACUGUUGUUAUUUGAUUCAUGUAAUUUUUCAGUGUUGAUUUAAAAACCCAAAAACCCCAUCUAUACUGACUUUUUGAUAUUUUUUCUGUGAUUUGAAUUUAAAAAGAGAUAAAACUUUCGAUAAAUUAUGUAAACUCAUAACAAGUAUUUAGUUUUAAAAAGCAUUUACAUGUUUCAAACUUAUAAUAUAUACAUAUAUAAUGUUUAAAAUUAUGCAUAUAAAACCUGUGUAAAAUGUGUGAAUAUGUUUCUCUUCUUUAAUGUGUUAAUCAUACUAUAUAUAACAUUAUUUUAAAAUUUCAAAAAGUUUAUGUCAUUGUCACAUACAAAAAACCAAAAAUAUAAUUCUCCAUCUACGACAAGAAAAAUGAAAAAUUAUAAACAUAUAAAUUUAAAUUAAGAAAAACUAACAUUGGAAAAACAAGAAAUUAAUAUAAAAGAAAAAACUGACAAAUAAUAUUAUAAAUAAAAUAAAUUUAUAAGAUGCAAUCCGCGCGAAGCGCGGAAAAAAUCUCUAGUCACAUAUAAAAGAAGUCAUAACUUUUAUUUUAAUAUAUAAGAUUUAUAUGCCUUCUAUUGUAAGACGUAAACGUAAAAGCAAAAAAACAUACGUAAACACCCUUUCACAAAAUAAAUGACAGUAACAAGCAGUUUCUCUUGUCGAGAUAUAAGAAAAAUAAGAGGUUGUAAAUGCAUGUUCACGAUGCCCCUCUAUAGUCUUCGAAGAUAAGAGUAGAUUUUUCUUGUUUUAUUUUGCACGUUUAAAUAAUGUUGCAUGUUGCUAGCGUAAAACCUGAGAUCUAAAAUUUUAAAAGAUAUCUACAGUACCAGGUUGUUUUCUGAUUAUUGUUUUGAGGGUGGGCUGCUUUCAUGUAAAAAUAUGUAUACUAACUUGAUAAAGAUGCCAGGUUAGUAUUAAAAAAACUUGACAAAGAUGCCACCAUGACAACUUUUUUCUUCUAACUAGCCAAUCCUUUUCCUAUUAAUACAUAAUAGAUGUGUUUUGCUAAUACAUAUUAGCUGUUUUUUGCUAAUACAUGUUGCAUAUAUGUACUUUGCUGAUACAUGUUAGAUGUUUUAAGAAACUUUCUUCAGUUCCUUCUAUAUUUCUAUCUAACUAACUGUUUUUUUUUUGUUCUUUGUCCCCCUUUUAUAAAUGUAUAAUCACCUUUUUUAUUAUACCUAAUAUAUGUUUUAUUAAUGAAACAAAGAGAAGCUAUAUCUCAAGAAUGACAAUAAUAAAGGUGAUUUUGUGAAAACAUAAAAAUGGACUGAUGAAUAAGUUAGAACAAAAUAGAGUAAAAUAAUUUAUUGUUGUUUUAGCAUAGUUAGAAUUUCGUGAACAAAAAUACUAAAUAGAGAAUGGAACCUAUAGAUCAUAGAAUUCAGUUGUAUUUAGAAUGGAACCAAGUUAUAUGCUCGGUUCCAAGCCUGGCCAGUUGAUGUAUUAGCCUUGGUCUAUAUUUUUUUGUCAUAAAACCUAAUAAUAACAGAAGCAAGGAAUUUGACCCAAAAAAAUAGAAGUAAGGAUAACAAUCUGCUCUUAUUCUUCAUCCCUGGUCAGUAAAUUUAUAGGUUUUGGCCCGAAAUUUUUUGUAAUAAAAAAAUUAUAGUGGAUUUCCAACAAGAAUUGAACCCGAAUAACGGAUUGCAUACUAAACACUCUUUUACUAUUCGAGCAGCACUUGUUAACUUGUGUCGCCUAGUGGUGAGUAAAACUUUCGGUUGACUCUUUCUAUUUUCUCACGCAAUUCACAUGUUCUUUGAAAGUUCAAAGUGUGACCGACAAAUUAAUCAUGAUAACUGCAGAAUUGUAUACACAGGUAUCAUAUUCAUAUAUAUCCUGACUAUUAGUUAAGAUCAUCCGAUCUUAAUUUUAAAGCUCCACAUAUCCUAUAUUCGAAAAUAUUUGAUAUUGGACUGGAUCUCGAAUCUCAUUUAUUUUGAGGUAUGCAGCCAUUUUUCUCGUUAAAACAUGGUAUUUAACAUAAAAAAGAAAGUUCUAUCCUUUCUACGUGUUCUCUAUUCCUCCGCAGCGACGAAUUUCAAAGCCCAUUUGAAAUAAAAUACAAUACAAAUACAAAUUUGUCAAAAAACCUAAUCUUAUAACAUAAAGAAGAAGACAACUCUCUUUUUAUGCUGCCAGCGCAACAAAUAAGGCGAGGAGCUCGCGACACCUGUCCCCUCUGAUCAAAACUCAUCGUUUCAUCUAUGUGAUGACUUAUACUCUGCGUUUCUUCUAGCGUCACGUGCCAGCCGCAAGAUAUUUAGGGUUUGGUAUUCCGCUUCAGUAAUUAACGAAGAGUCUUCUUCUUCAAUCUCUGAUAUAGCUAUGGAGUUUUGAUAUCUUCAAUCCACAUGAAGAAUCGUUUUUGAAUCUUCGACCUGGCCUUCUGUCUUCUCUUCAGAGGUAACCUUUCUCCUAAUUAAAUCAUCCCCUGUAUCAUGCUCUUUAACAUCACCCCUCUUCGAACAGAUCUGUUACUGAAUGCACCUUAUUCAUCUGCAAGGCGGUUUCUCUACUUCUAUAAAAGGUAUGCCUUUCUUUCCUUCCCCUUCUGAUCUUUUCCUUCUUCACGACUGUGACGUUUGUUUCUAGGGUUCAUCGCUUGAAUAUCUUAACUUCUGAGAUUUUGUACCUAUGAUAGAGAUUUAGUGUGUGUAUUAAUAUGUGCUCUCGCUUGAAUAUCUUAACUUCUGAGAUUUUGUACUUAUGGAUUCAGAUUUUUAGUUGUCUUGAUGUGUUAGAUAGAGCAGCAUUACGUGGCUCAAGGUUUGAGUAUUGUUGGCUACUUUCAUACGAACAAGAGGUUUGGCAAAGUGGAGCUCUCUGGUGUCGCUAAUAAUAUCGGUGAUCACAUCUCUCUCUAUUUCCCUCAUGCGCCAAUCCCCUAGGCAAAGCUCUUACAUUCUGCUUUCACAUCAUAUAUAUAGAUUAGUGCAAGCAUUUUUUGGGUUCUGGUGGUGUUAUUUAGACAUCAUAAUUUCUACCAUAGCCUCUUAAAAGGGCAAGGAAACCUCGCUAAUGACGCUGAGAAGUUAAUAUCUUCAUCACAGCAAGAGGUCUCUAUCUUAUCCCACUCACAAGUAAAAUUAUCUAACACCGAUUGAUCUAACUCUUUCUUUGAAAGUAUUGGGUAAGAAGCUGCUGUAAAGAACAACUAUGGAGGGCUCAUGCCAAAGAACCUCCUCUGAUUUCCAAGGUCGGUUCAUUUAUCUACAUCUAAAGAGUUUUUUUUUGUGUUUCUGUGGUGUGUUGUUUUAUAUAAGGAUUAUGAGCAACCAUACUUUGAUUCAGCUGACUGGGCUCUUUGAAAGGUAGCAAAUGUUCAAACUUUGAUCCAACGAGUGUUGUUUUCAUUCAGAUGAUCAAAUAUAACUCUCAAUAAUGUUUCUAUUCUCAUGGUGUUAUGAUAACAGUAAGCAAAACAGAUGGAGGAGGUGGCAAAAUUGAUCAACGGGAAGGAGAUUGACUUUGAGGAGUUAAAACCCAAGCCAGUGUUUUAAAGGAAACGUUUCGUGACAACAUUUAACAGCCUUUUUGUUUGAAUCCUAUGUUCUAAACGUAAUCUGCGACGUUGAUUCUUUCUAGCCAAGAGCUAUUCUCUCUCAUUAUUUGUCGCUGCAGGCUAUCUUUGUCAUCAAAUAUAGUUUUAUCUGGCCUCUGCAAUGAUAAAAAUUAUUGAUAGGCAGUCUCUCUCUCGACCAUAAGAUUAAUUUAAAUUUCACUGAAACAUAUAUUAUCAUCGAAAUCCGGCGCGUAGCGCCGGGCUCCCCUAGUUACCUAUAUUGUAUGAUUGUAUCACUAUAUUGAUGAUUUGACAAAAACCUAAUUACCUACAUUACCAAGUAGUACACGUACGCCUAAUUGUCGCUCAUCAUUUGUCCUUUUAUUUUUCAGAAUAGAGAGGAAGCUAAAAGCAAAUCCAUCUUUAGUUCAUUUCUAACGUUCUACUAAUACUAUUAAAAAAGUGGUCUAAGCAUGUCAACUAGGAUUUAAAUGUUGGUUUACAUUAGGAAAAUUAAAUCAAAUAAGCAAACAAAAUUUAAAGAUCAAUAACUAACGAAAAAUUUAAAUCUUUACAGAACAACAUAGAAUUCCAUAGUACCUUUUUAAUUAUUUAAAAUAAUGCAUAUGUAAUUGACUUCACUUAUCCUUUUCAAUAUUGUGUUUACUUUUGUUUUAAUUUCAAAUUAUUGCAUAUGCCUUUAUUUUUUAUACGUCAUAGUUUUAAAAAAAAUUAAACAGCUAUAUGUUAUUAAAAUAUAUUAGUAAGUCUAAAUAAAUAUUUUUCAAUUUAUUUUAUUUUUUAAAAUAAAAUGCUAGUGUGUUCUAAAUAGAAUGCUAGUACGAUCCUUACUACGUACAAUUUGAAGAUGUUUCUCAAAUUAUUUUUCUUGGGGAGGGAUUUUUGAAUUACAGUUAUCAUGAUGCAACUUCCUACUUCGGCGUUUAGGAGAUAAACCCAAAUUUACAAUCUGCCACAUAUAAGGACAGAUAACAUGCUAAACUCAAAAUCUUGUUUUUUCUAGUGGUAAAGAUGUUUUUCUUUUGAAGAAAAGAGAUAUACGUUUAUUAGUGGUAAAGGUAUUAAAUAUUUUUCUCUAUGCAAUGACCAUAUCCGGACACAACCCGCUUGGCAUGCACCUUCACAAAUCUGUUGUGUUGCUCUAGUCACUUUCAUGCAGGCCCGGCCCAUAGCAUAUGCAACAUAAGCAAUGGAUUAGAGCUCAAAAAUGUUACGAGUUUUUUUUAGCCUGGAAAAAAUAACUCUGAAUGUAUAUUAGAUUUUUUUUAAUAUACAAUAGACGAAGGCACAGUUUUUAGAAAGAUUGAGUAGGGCCUUGAACUUGUUUGGGCUGUUGCUGCUUUCAUGCAUAUCCUAAUAGUGCUUCUUUUCCAGCCACAAUCCUAAUAGUGCUUCUUUUCUAGCCACAAUCUCUGUGACUGUCCCUGACAGAACCGUAAUUAUCAUCAAACUCAUGGUGGCCAAGCUUCUGCUCCGGCUCUUCAUUUUUUGCUUCGUACGUGAAAAUAAUUGAUCAGAGUAAUAUUAAGGGAGAAAUGGUUUCUUGGAGGACAAGGAAAGGAUAUUGAACAGAAGGGGAUUGUAAAGAUUCAAAGGUAAUCUGGCCUUAUAUGUGUUCGGUUUUCCGUUAAUAUUAACUAUUUCAAAAAUAGGGAAUUGUCUUCUACUCGGUUUUACUUGUAACAUGGAGACAGUCACAUAUUGUCUUUUCAAUCAACAAUAUGUCAUUUUGUUUGAGUGCUCUUUCAGUUACCAAAUCUGGCAGGUGAUGGUGAUGGCGGCUCGAUCUGGCUUGCAGGCAAGGCCGCAGUGGGAAGAAACUGUGAAUCAACUACUGUCUCUCACGGGGAAUAGGAAUAGAAGAAGACUGAUGCUCCUAGCUUGGCAAUCAACGAUCUACUCUAUCUGGAGGGAAAGGAACCUGCGCAUCAACCAGCAUGUAUUCCGCUCGACAGAUACUAUCAUCACCUUCUUGGACAGGCAGAUCAGGAACCAAAUUCAGAGCUUCAGGGAGUCUAGACCUCGUCAAGUUUCUCUCCUGAUGCAACUAUGGUUCUCGACAGGCUGAUCACCAACUCUCCCUUCCUCUCUCGAUGGCUUCAUGACUUACGGUCUUUCCAAAGAAGACUCACCAACCAUCCUAGCAGGCUCUCCUCUUGGGCUAUGUUGGGCCUUACUAGUUCUUUAAUAUGUGUGUUCUCCUUAUCUAAAUACACUGGGCAUGUCUCAUAAAACACUAAAGCUGAGGGGCUUGUAUAUUUUUAUUUUUUCUCUGUUUUAAUAUGAAAGUCGUUUACAAAAAAAAAAAAUGUCAUUUUGUUUUAUUACUCGAUAUGAAUAUUGACUUUCGUUGCAUUGUGGACUAAUAUUAUUAGUCGGAUUUAUUAUUGAUUUAUCCAUAGUGUUGGUUGCAAAUGCAUCUAUAGGAGUUAUACAAGAGUCAAGUGUAAUGUGACAUGCCUCUUUGGAUAAGAGUGUCUAUAUCUUUGUCGCCACGGCCACUGCAAUUCACGAUCACUUUGGCACCAUCAUGCAGAAUAGGAACAAGUUUGUCUAGGAAUGCGAGCGCGUGAGAUGCUUCCAAUGCUGGGAUUAUACCCUCCAAUCUGCUCAAUAGCAUGCACGCUACAAUAGACGAGAUAGAAGAUUGUUAGAAGUGAAUGAAAAAUCUUGUUAGAAUUAUAGAAAUAGAAAAGAUUGUUUCGAGUAGUAAGUAACGUUAAUACCUUGAAUGGCUUCUUUAUCUGUUGCUGUAUAGAAUUCGACUCUCCCGGUUUCUUUCAAAAAGCUAAUCUCCGGUCCGACUCCGGGAUACUCUAACCCACGACCAAUCAAGCAUAUGUGAGGCUCCGAAUACUUUACAUAAAGACCCCUCUUUGAUUUACAAAUAUAAUUUGGUUAUCCAAGAUUAUAAUAAAAAUAUUGCUUAUCCAACCGUAGAUUAAAUUCAGUUUCGGAUUUUGAUCCGAACGGUUCAUAUCUAUCACGAUAGAUGACUUGUGUUAAAUGUGAACACCUUUUUAUGAUAAACAGACGUGCAAGGUUACUUUUUAACUUUCAUUUUCAGUAGUUGUGCUAAUUAACUCCAUAAUAAUAGUUUGAAUAACUCUUUAGAAAAACACACAUAAAUAUAUAUAUAUAUACAUAAUUUAACACUUACCCUACUCCAAUGGAGUGUGGUCUAAGUAUCUGUCCUUGAUCAUCUUGCAACAAGUAGCUCAUAGAACCAUGGUACACACCAACAUCUCCAACGGCCAAAGUAGCUGAAUGUUUCCCUGAAUCAAGCCCCAGUCCCGCGGCCUCGACCCCUACUAGCCGCACAUCCUCAUCCCCAACAAACUCAUGGAACAAUCCCAAUGCGUUUGAACCACUCCCCACACAAGCUACCAACACAUCAGGCUUACCACCCCAUAGUCGUUUUGCUUGCCUUCUCGUCUCUUUCCCGAUCACAGAUUGAAACUCACGUACCAUUACCGGACUCGGGUGUGGUCCUACGACCGUCCCUGAUAAGUAGUAUGUGGUUUCUAGGUUUUCAACCCAAUUUCGAAUCGCCUCUGAACUGGCAUCUUGAAAUGUUCCUUCUAAGGAUGAUACCUAUUAAAAUAUAAAAACGAAUUUUAUGUUCGUAGAUGAAUAUUUUAUUGUAUCAGGAGAUAUUAUUUGUAAUAAAAUCUUCAUUUCUGAAAAACUAUUUGUAAUAAAACUCUUCUUAAAAAUAAACAGGUAAUGUUAGUUUAUCUAGUUUACGGUGAUUCUUUGCAUAGUUUUUACUGUUAAUUACCAACAAUUUUUGUGCUAGAUUUUUACUUAACUUUUUUAAAUUUCCGGUACCUAUGUUUCAAGAUAUUUUUUAUCUCAGUAAUUGGUCUCUUGACGUUUUGUAUAUGCUAAAUACAUAAUGAAGUUCAUAAUAGAAAUUAGGAGUGGAUCCUGAUUCUCUUCAUCGGUCCAUGGGCAAAUAUAUGAGGGAUUUUUGCAAAAUUGACCUACAACUUAAAGUCAAACACAAAACUAACCUCCCUUUUUUUUGAAAAUUGGUUUUGCCCUAUUCACCCCACAAGUUCAUAUAAUUUACGAAAAUGCCAUCAAUUUUUUUUUUUUUUUUUUUUCGAAAAUGACAUUUUUACUCUCUCACCCUCAUCAUCUUCAAGUAAUUACAAGAUUGCCAUUGUCAUCAAUACCACAACCACCAUGAACAACCAAUUUGAAGCUCUUAAUGCUCCCAAAAUCGAUUUACCCUUCUUCUUUUUCCAUUCUUGUGAACUAAACACAACAUAUCUCUCACUUUCUCUCCACAAUGAGCUAAAAAAACCCAAGAUUUUGAUUCUAAAUUUUUUAUGGUUCAUAGAGUCAUAGAAGCUAACGAUUAUGGGUGGGUGACUUUCGUUUGUGAUUCUGUGUGCUUGGAGAAGCCUUAUGUAUGCUAAGGAACUUAUCUCACCAAUUUAAGGUAUGACAUCGAGUUUUUUUCCAGAUCUGUUCGUCAGACGACUUACUUGGGAAGUCGUCUAGCUGUAGACAACUUACCUGGAAGUCGUCUGGUCAACGCAGAGGUUAUUUUUGCAAUUGACUUUGAAAUCUGUAACCUGAGACGACUGAAAGUUAAGUCGUCUNNNNNNNNNNNNNNNNNNNNNNNNNNNNNNNNNNNNNNNNNNNNNNNNNNNNNNNNNNNNNNNNNNNNNNNNNNNNNNNNNNNNNNNNNNNNNNNNNNNNNNNNNNNNNNNNNNNNNNNNNNNNNNNNNNNNNNNNNNNNNNNNNNNNNNNNNNNNNNNNNNNNNNNNNNNNNNNNNNNNNNNNNNNNNNNNNNNNNNNNNNNNNNNNNNNNNNNNNNNNNNNNNNNNNNNNNNNNNNNNNNNNNNNNNNNNNNNNNNNNNNNNNNNNNNNNNNNNNNNNNNNNNNNNNNNNNNNNNNNNNNNNNNNNNNNNNNNNNNNNNNNNNNNNNNNNNNNNNNNNNNNNNNNNNNNNNNNNNNNNNNNNNNNNNNNNNNNNNNNNNNNNNNNNNNNNNNNNNNNNNNNNNNNNNNNNNNNNNNNNNNNNNNNNNNNNNNNNNNNNNNNNNNNNNNNNNNNNNNNNNNNNNNNNNNNNNNNNNNNNNNNNNNNNNNNNNNNNNNNNNNNNNNNNNNNNNNNNNNNNNNNNNNNNNNNNNNNNNNNNNNNNNNNNNNNNNNNNNNNNNNNNNNNNNNNNNNNNNNNNNNNNNNNNNNNNNNNNNNNNNNNNNNNNNNNNNNNNNNNNNNNNNNNNNNNNNNNNNNNNNNNNNNNNNNNNNNNNNNNNNNNNNNNNNNNNNNNNNNNNNNNNNNNNNNNNNNNNNNNNNNNNNNNNNNNNNNNNNNNNNNNNNNNNNNNNNNNNNNNNNNNNNNNNNNNNNNNNNNNNNNNNNNNNNNNNNNNNNNNNNNNNNNNNNNNNNNNNNNNNNNNNNNNNNNNNNNNNNNNNNNNNNNNNNNNNNNNNNNNNNNNNNNNNNNNNNNNNNNNNNNNNNNNNNNNNNNNNNNNNNNNNNNNNNNNNNNNNNNNNNNNNNNNNNNNNNNNNNNNNNNNNNNNNNNNNNNNNNNNNNNNNNNNNNNNNNNNNNNNNNNNNNNNNNNNNNNNNNNNNNNNNNNNNNNNNNNNNNNNNNNNNNNNNNNNNNNNNNNNNNNNNNNNNNNNNNNNNNNNNNNNNNNNNNNNNNNNNNNNNNNNNNNNNNNNNNNNNNNNNNNNNNNNNNNNNNNNNNNNNNNNNNNNNNNNNNNNNNNNNNNNNNNNNNNNNNNNNNNNNNNNNNNNNNNNNNNNNNNNNNNNNNNNNNNNNNNNNNNNNNNNNNNNNNNNNNNNNNNNNNNNNNNNNNNNNNNNNNNNNNNNNNNNNNNNNNNNNNNNNNNNNNNNNNNNNNNNNNNNNNNNNNNNNNNNNNNNNNNNNNNNNNNNNNNNNNNNNNNNNNNNNNNNNNNNNNNNNNNNNNNNNNNNNNNNNNNNNNNNNNNNNNNNNNNNNNNNNNNNNNNNNNNNNNNNNNNNNNNNNNNNNNNNNNNNNNNNNNNNNNNNNNNNNNNNNNNNNNNNNNNNNNNNNNNNNNNNNNNNNNNNNNNNNNNNNNNNNNNNNNNNNNNNNNNNNNNNNNNNNNNNNNNNNNNNNNNNNNNNNNNNNNNNNNNNNNNNNNNNNNNNNNNNNNNNNNNNNNNNNNNNNNNNNNNNNNNNNNNNNNNNNNNNNNNNNNNNNNNNNNNNNNNNNNNNNNNNNNNNNNNNNNNNNNNNNNNNNNNNNNNNNNNNNNNNNNNNNNNNNNNNNNNNNNNNNNNNNNNNNNNNNNNNNNNNNNNNNNNNNNNNNNNNNNNNNNNNNNAAAUAAACACAUAUAGGUGAAAACUAAUUUUUGAAAAAAACAUUUAAGUUUUCCAAAAUCUAACCCUACAAUACAUACAAUACUACAACAUAUGUUUGCUAAACUCCUAAACCAAAGUAUUUCAUGAUUCACUACUUCCACUCAUCUAUCUUCAAAACAAAUCAAUUUUAUCAUAUCUUAAUUUAUAUUAGUUAAAACUGUUUAUAAUUACUUGAUUUUUAUUUUUUACGCAUCAAAAUAUUUUUUUACAAGAUUUAUAAAUUAUUUUUAAAAUAAACUGGUACCAGACGACUUACACUUCAGUCGUCCAGACGACUUCCAACAUCUCAGACGACUCAGACGAUUUACUGGGGCUAUAUUCGUAAAAAUGGCUUCUGUUUUUUUGUUUGGUCACAAGGGGCUGAGCUGUAAUUUCACUAGGCUUUUAGGUUAGUUUUGCAUUUGAUUCAAGUUUGGGUAUAGGUUUGGGAUUAAAAUCAAGUUGUGGGUUAGUUUUGGCAAAAACCCCAAUAUAUGAAACCAAAAUGAAAAAAAAUAUAUAUAUUAUAAAAAACUAUAAGCCUUUGGUUUCCGGAUAAUAAUUAAGAAAAGUUUGUGGUGCAAAACUGGAUCAAGUUAGGUUCGGUUAGGUUAUGAGUCUAAUUAUAUAUAAUUACUAGUUUUACCUGAGCCCCAAGGAGUUUCAUGGAAAGGACAUUAGAGGAUUGUUUCUCUAUAUCAGUGGUUCCCAUGAAAACAGUACACUCCAAGCAGAGCUUUGCACAAGCAGCCGCGGUGGCGACCCCAUGUUGGCCGGCUCCUGUGGCCGCUACCACACGGCUGCAACCAAGCCGCCGGGCAAUCAUUGCUUGAGCGAGAGCAUUGUUCAUUUUGUGGGACCCACUAUGGCCUAGAUCUUCCCUUUUCAGGUAGAUCUCGGGUCCAUCUCCAGUGGUUCGAGACUUCGAGAUUUGUUUCUAUAGUGUUCGGUUAAACGUCCGGCGAAGUAAAGAGGCGUCUCUCUUCCUACGUAGUCUCUUAACGCUGUUGUAAGCUCCGCCUGAUUAUACAAUUAAAAGGGGCAUAAGAAAGACGUUCCAUAGAUUAAUUAUCACGUUUAAGUAAAAUACAUGUGUUUUUUUAUUUUAUGUUUAAUUGAAUGCUAAUUUUUUUUAAAACAAAAACCAUUUUUGUUUACAUUUACAAAUGCACCAUAAAAUAGAAUAGAAAAACGUGAUUUUUUUUCUAUUUCUAUCUAUGAUUUGGCACUGGUCUUGUAGAAAACCAGUAUCUAUACAUGUAUUAUAUUUAUACUAAAUAGAAAUUAGUAUCGUAUAUAUUUAUUUAAGAUUAAUGCGGAAAUAUGUCGACUAUUAUAUUAGUAAAGUUUUUGCCCGUAAUCAGAUAUAUGAGAAAAGCCAACCUGAAAUUCAUGAUCGCUCAAAACAAAAUCUAAUUCCUCUUCAAGAUCUCUCAGGCGGGACAUCAAAGUCUCCGGUACAAACUUCCCACCGAACCUCCCGAAACGACCAUUACCGUCGCCACGAAGAAACGGUCUCGCGUUAGUUCUUACUGAAACAGAAGUCACAGAACCAAAAGAUGGACCACUCAUACGACUGAGUACGUCGCUUACACGGUGGUGACUUUUUAUGGGAACUCCAAAAACAACAGAGUUUAUCAUACGGUGGUUUCUUGCCGGAACCCUAGGAAGGGGCUGCCAUUGUAACUGGAUUUUAGUGGACGACAUUUUUUUUGAAACGCUGAUGUCUAAUUAUUUUGUGAUAUUUUUUUACCAAAAAUUUGGGCUGACGCGUUCUCUUUUUAUAGUAUAUUUUUUUGUAUGAAUCGAUCUGAAUUAUUUAUGCAUGAUCUGAAUUAUUUAUGCAUGAUCUUGUUGUCGCAUUUUCCACGUGUCCUCUUGAUUUUGACGAAACAACAUACAUGUAUUAUGAAUGUAACUUUCUUUCAGUCAUUGUGCGUUUGCAAAUAAUUUGUAAUGUCUUUUACCUAAAGACGUAAACGUACAACCAAAAAAAGGAAGAGAUGUAAACGCUCUCUUACAAAAUACUAAGUGACAAUACAAACACUUCCAUAAUUUUGCAAAGUGAGGUCUUGAUUGAGAGAUUGGACAAGAAUAUGAGGAACAGAUUCACCAUUCUUCAAAGAAGAUGAGAUAAGGAGUUGGUUGGAGGAAUAACCUUUUGGUUUGGUUCUAUAUAGUUUUUUUUUAAAGGAGAAUGAGUUCUAAGAUAAAACAGGAGAGGAUAGUACAUCAUAAUUUUAAUUUUGGUCACACUUGAUGUAAAACAAUAUUUUUUAUUUGAAUUAAAUUUAACAUUCAAUUAAAAGAAAAAACACUUUUUUUUGUUGGGAUUAAAUAAUGAUAUUAAGGGUCCAAAUAAUAACACGUGAAACAACUGCGAUGCGGUUUUAGUGGUAACAAAAACACAUAUAUAAAAAGAUAUUGUUACAACGACAUGUUGUGUUUGUUUCACGUUUGUUUGUGUCGACUGAUACUAACAGGGCCGUGUCUGAAAAUUUUAGGCCCUAAAGCUCAAUUAUUAAUUUGGCCUUUUAAAACUAUGAGAAUUUAAAAUGUUAUAGGGAAGAAUCGAACUGGACGCCUUAUAUACUUCUAAUAAGUACAUUACCAACCUAGCCACUUAGUUAUUUCUGUUAGGUUUUGGCCUCUAAUAUUUAUAUAUUUCAAGGCUCCAAGCAUAUGCUUGAUUAGCUUUUACUUAGGCACGGCCCUGGAUACUGACAUACAAACUCAUACUUAAUAAAUAGUAACAAAAACACAUAUAACGCGAUUUUGUUGCAACGACGUGUUGUGUUUGUUCCACGUUUGAUUGUGUCGACUGAUACUAACAUACAAACUCAUACUUAUAAAUAUAUUAUAUACUGGGAUUUGGUAUAUAAAUCCAGAUCAAAAAAGAUUUGUUACGAAGAAGUUAAAGAUGAAGAAUCGUACUUUCAUAUAUUUAAACUUGAAAUGAUAAUUAAAUUAGUGAGAAAAAGGAAAGAAAAAUUACAAUUGUUUAGAUAUUUAUGACAAGGGAAAAUGCACUUUUUAUGGAUUCUUGUAAUAAUUUAAGGAUAAACAUCCUGGGAGAAAUAUUUCAAGAAAUAAUAGAGGAUGUAAUUUGCAAUCAUUUUUGUUCUGUAUCGAUGAUAAACAUCAAAGUUGCUUUUCGGAAUAGACUGGAUAAUAUUUAUCAUAAUGCAUACUUGCUACAUCGGUGUUUAAGAGAUUCCCCAGUUGUACAAUCAGCUACAUAUAAAAGAUAACUACCGUAUGGUGAUACAAAAUCUUAUUUUUUUUCCUGUAAAAAUAUAUUAAAUAUUUCUCUAUGCAAUUACCAUAUCGACUCCUUGAUCAGUGGCUGAAAGUCCGGUGCCUCGACCUUGAAGCUGGACACAACCAGCUUGGCAUGCCCCCUCACAAAUUUCUUGCGUUGCUUCUGUCACUUUCAUGCAUAUUGGCAUACAUUCUCUGUGGCACAACGGCAAUACUUUCUUUCCUAAUAGUGCUUCUUGUCCAGCCACAAUCUUCGUCCUUAACAAAACCGUAAUUAUCAUCAAACUCAGGGUGGCGAAGUUUCUGCUCCGGCUCUUCAUUUUUGCUUCGUACGUGAAAAUAUUUGAUCAGAAAGAAAGAUGAAAGAAGGAAUAUUUGGAAGACAAGGAAAGGAUUUUGAACAGAAGGGGAUGGUUAAGAUUCAAAGGGUAAUCAUGGCCUCAUAUGUGUUUGGUUCUCCGUAAUAUUAACUUUUUAACAAUAGUGAAUUGUCUUUGAUCAAAAAAAAAAAAAAUAGUGAAUUGUCUUUUACUCGUUUUCACGUAUAAAUGGAUACAGUCAUCUAUUGUCUUUUAAAUCAAUUUGAAACUUUGCUUAACAUAACACAGAACAAUAUAUCAUUUUGUUUUAUUAAUCGAUAUGAAAGAUUGAUUUUCGUUGAAUUAUUGACUAUAUUAUUAGUCUGAUUGCAAUAUAUAAAUAUCGAUUAGAAAACAUAAAAGUUUAAAGACGUUCAAAUAACUUCAACCGUAGUUGAGCCGAAACAUCUCAUUUUGGAUGAAGAAACUUCCUUGUGGAAGAGGGACCAAGUGAAACGUCUGCAAAUAAUAAAUAACAUUUUUAUUAUCAAGGCCUUUAAGCAAAAAAAUACAUUUUUAUUUACGUAAGCUAAAAAACUGACAGAAAAAUAAUAUAUGUAUAUAUAUGUGCAAGCUCAUAUUAAAUAACUUAGUUUCAUUCAUGUUCAUGUUAUAGUUAAUUAAAGGAUUAAUAUUCGAAGAUUAUUAUGACUGUUCCUAGAUUUACCGAUGUAAACUAGUGUAUUAUGGCUAGUACACGUAGAAAUGAUCAAAAAUAGCAUUUUUCUUUUUGUAAUUUAAGCAUUUUGUUUCUUACAAAACGAUAUCUCACAUUGAUCAUAAAUGGAGAAGAGUUAAGACCUGGCUAAACCUAAGAGGAUGAUCCUCGCCGUGUAACUGGAUGCUACCACUCACAAAGACAAGGAUUCCGCCACAGCCACCGGCCAUUGAGGACGGCUGCGAAUCAACGGUGCUGAUCAAAUGACGACACUGAUCGAACGGAAGUUGUUUGAGCUUAUUGAAGAUAUCUUCCACGCCGUAAAUCUUUUGGCCUUCGAAAGUAAGCAACGAGGUGGGAUUGUAGAGAGUGGAAAGAGAAGAUCGAUCAUUGUCAAAGAGAUGGUAAUAGUGAUUCACAAAUGCCCUUGCAACUUCUUCUUCACUUCUUCCUUUAUUUGUCUCUGCCAUUGUAUAGAAAUUAAAUCUGUUAGCAAAAACCAAAGAGGGAAUAUAAACAUGAGCUAUCUUAAGGAAUCAACUUUCAUGGGGGGAAAAGAUACUUAAUUUGCAAGCAAGGGUAAGAAUAAAUCGAUAAUCUUUUUUUUACUUUCUUGUGGAUCAAGUAACGCAUAAAUCUUCUCCAUCGAAUCUUAUAUUCAGAUUUUCACAUUGUAUGAAGCAAUGCUUCUUUGUUGGAGUACACUCAAAUCAACUGAUACAAAAGCAAAUACCAUAAUCAUAUCGUAUAUAGUCCUAGAGCAAUCAUUACUCUAACUCGAGUAUCCAAAACUUUAAUAAAUGGACCAGAGAGACUAGAUAAGUAGAAAACUAAAAAACCGUUUAUGUGAAAAAAAUCAUAUGGGGACUACGGUUCUAAUACCAUAUUAAUAAAUGAACUUAACUCACACCCAAACUCUAGUUCAAAAGUAAAAGAUUACUACAUCACAUAUAUAUUGACAAGACACUUGAUAUCACCGAUGUGGAAUAUCUAAUAUAAAACCUAGUUACUCAAAAAUUUACCUUAAGGUAAAGAUCCAUCAAUGCCAACUAGAUGGCCAAUACGUUUGAAUCUCAUAACCAGUCUUCCAACUAUUCAAGUAAACAACCUUCUUCACAGCCAACAACGACACGACCAUAGCCAACAUCAUAAACACCCUCUGCCCACUGACACUCCUGACGCGCACAAGCGCAUUAGUGACAUACGCCAAGAGCAGCCCAACCACAUUGUACAAGAGCCCGACAGAGAGCCCCUCCGCCCCGAGCUGAAAAUUCUCUCCUUUGUAGAAGAAAACGAGCUUGUUCGAAUCCUGGUGAUCUCUCACGAACAUAGGCAUUCCUUUGAUGAUGUUAUGCAUAGUCCCGGAGACGCUGAAGAAGUACACCAAAACGGUGCAGAAUAGCCAGACUCUACUAUUGUGGAGGACCGUCUCUCCCUUGAGAACCUUCUUGAUAAGGAAAGGAGUCGAGAUCGCGAUUAGGGCUACUAUUACCCUGAUCUGCGUCUUGGAAAGGAGCGGCGGGCGGUGGAGUGGACCAACGGUGAGGCUAGUUCGGCUCUCGAUGAACUCCACCACAGACUCCGCGGUUCCAUCCACAUCUUCUUCCUCCAUCCUGCCUACAUGGCUGACUUAACAUUAUUAUGAACCUUCGGACAAUUUUUUAAAAAAAUAAAUAAAUGUUUUAAAUAUAUAUUUUGUUUUAAAAUUUUUAACAGUAAUAUUUUGUAAUGUAAGAAAAACUAUAUGCAUUAAAAAUGUUUUUAGGACUUUUUCAAUUCUAUUAUCAAUUUUAUUUUGAAAAAUUAUGUGGACAUGGUUAGGAUCAGGGCAGUCGCACUGUUUGUCCCCUAGUUGGCCGGCUCUUGGUACCUGUUUUGUCUUGUAGAUUCUCCAUCAAAGGGUCGACGAGGCAGAUUUGGGGGAGGAACUGGAUGCCGAAAAGGCCGAAAGCCUCUGAGUCCGAUGAUUCAUCGAUCUCGCAGAAGAACACCUUGUUGGCUACGUCAGAUCUGUUGUUGUUGUUGGCGAUGAAAGAGGCGGAGACGAAUGCGAAUUCUCUGCGGAACUCUUGGAGGGGGUUGCUGUUGAGAUCAAUGGAGUUGAAGAAGAUGAUGAGGGAGUAAGGUCGUGGUGUGGAUACGGAGGUUAUGAAUUUCGAAACGGUGUCGUCGGUGAGGCGGAUCACGCCGGAUUCGGAGGAUGAUCGGAGGGAAACGAGUUCUUUGGUGAGAUCUGGUUGCGAAACCGCGAGGAUCGAUAGUAGUGAUAUUGAGAGGAAGAAACGAUGUGGGAGAGUUGUGUGGUCUGCCAUUUUUGAUCUCUUUGAUUGGAUUCGAGAAAGGAAAAUGAGAAUAGAUCCGAGGGAGAUGGAGUUUGGCGGAAGAGACUGGAGAAGUGAAGAAAUGUUCAAAAGUAAGGGUUUAUAUACUGGUGAAAAGGUAAACCUGCUGCGUAAGCUAGAGGGUUCAGUUUAGUGAAAUAACAAAAAAUUUUGACGGCUGUGGGAUUUGAACCCACGCCCUUUCGGACCAGAGCCUAAAUCUGGCGCCUUAGACCACUCGGCCAAACCGUCUUGUUGAUAGUAACCUAUUACAUAUCUAUUCAUAACUAUAAAACUAAUAUUAAACUCAUUUAGUGACUUCUCGGUCAGAAUUAGAGAAAUCAGAUAUGAGAGAAACCAUCUAUUGGAGCAGAAGCUUUAAAAGAUUGAUUCGAUUGAAUAUAAAGUCAAGAGAACACUGCCAGAGUUGGAAUUGUCCACAAAAUAAAAAAAACGCUAUGAAGGAGGAUGAAGACUAAUGCAAGACUAUUCUUACUUAGGUUUCACUUUGUACAACCAUAUGCUUCAUUUUGUGUUUGAUGGAAAAAUCAUGAAACUAUGAGAGUACUGAAAGAUUAAUUGCUCCAAAGGAAAACACUGAAUCACACAGAGAGUCACCGACAUACAUAUGACAAAAUCACUAGCGUCUUCCAAAACCCCAUAAUAUUCAGAUUGUUUCAAGUUUCUACACCAAAACACAGAGAGUUUUCAUACAUAUUAAGUUUUGAAUCCUCUUUCAGCAGAUUUGCAUCCUCCUCUUAACUGUUGUCUGAUUUUUCCAAAGCUGCAAAGUGAUAAAAUGCGUUUUGAGUUAUAAAAUCCAACAUGAAAGAAAGCCAAAAGAAACACAAAGAUAUAUAGAGAGUUUGGAGAGUGUACUGUUGUAGUUGAGAAGCUUCUCAAUCAGAUCAACAUGCGUCAUUAGCAUACGCCUGCAGCAGUAUCUAACUAAGUUGAGUGCAUCAAGUGCGUCCCUGCAAAAAGUAAUAACACAGGUAAAGUAUAAACAAACUAAACAAGAUAGACGCAACACUCUCUUCCAACAACAUAUAAAUAUAACCAGCAGAGCUCAGAUCAUUAGCUACAGCCUUAAACCAUCAACUCUUCAUUGAUUGUUUCUCCACAAACGAAAUGUUGUUAAACCAAUCACAUCACAAGACAAAAUAGUCUCUUCUAACAACAUGUAAAAAAAAACAGUCUUAAACCAUCAACCCUUCAUUAAUUUGUUCCUCCACUAACGAAAUGGUGUUAACUAAUCAAAUAUAUCUAUCACGUAUUAUCUUCCAACAGAAAUCACAGACCAGGUGGUUAAUUUCUCUAAUAUACAAACAAAAGUUCUAUAAUUUGCACAGAGUCUGAUCAGUCAAACAUGUACGCACAAGCAUAAUCAAAGCCAACAAGUUUUACUUAUAUAGCAAAAGUAUGGUCUAAACAUAAACAUGAUGAACAUAAACAGAAGUUUGUUCUAAGCUUAAUACAUUACCAAACAAAUAUCUUCCAUUACUUCGUUUUCUCAAUUAGAUAAGUGGUGUUAACUAAUCUCAUACUUGAGCUAAUUCCCUCUCAAAUUCAAAUAAAGUAUGCUCUUUUAAACUAGUUACGAGAAGAAUCAUGUAGUUUACCCUUCAGUGUAGUCAAGCUGGAGAAGAUCAAGAUACGCAUCCCACUUGUUUCCAAUCACCUGACAAAACCACAAGAGUGAAAGCUUCGUAAAGCUCGAAACUUUAUCUCUCGAAACGAUUUUAUCUAAUCGAUUCAGACCGUAGUUAUCCGAUAAAACAUUCAUCGAGCAGGUAAGAUAAUCUCUUCUUUUGUCGAAUUUUAGAGUAGCUAAAACCCUAGAAAGAAGUAAGAUUUUGAAUCGCCCGAUUUAGCAAAGCCGAGGAAGUGAAACGAACCUUUCCGCAUGUAAAGCACCGUACAGGGAUAAUCAUCUUCUCGAGCUAAGAACUGUGUGAAUCUGUAGACUUGUGUUGGGUCUGCCUCUCUUCUCGAUUUGGGGUUUUAGGGUUUUCUGCUUCGCGCUUCCUUUAAUAAGGUGAAGAACACAAAAGGGACGGCUUCUCGAAACGUUGUCGUUUCGUGUGAUAUUUGAUUGCUGGGUGACUAAAAUUGGGUCCGGUUUGAUUUGAUUUACUUAAAUUUAUUCGGUUUUAAAGCCGGUUUAGUUAGACAGUUUAUUUCCUCUGAUUGUUCCUUGUGUCCCCAUCAUAUCAUUAUUCACCAACAACUUGAACUACUAUUACUCUACACCACCAACAAAGAUUAACAUCUUAAGGUUAAAAACCAAAUUAAAACUGACGUUUUCAGUUAGAACAUUACAUUCUUGUGGAUCAACCUCUUAAGGUAAGAAGAAAAAGAACUGGCAUUCCAAGUUUACUGCAAAAGAUAUUUUUAUACUAAAGGAGAUUUAAGAACUUUUUGCUUCCUUGAACCAUCUGUUAAAGUAUAUAUGUUUUGAUUGAUAUGGGCUCAUCUUAAUAAACAAGACUAUAAAACUCUUAUAAUAAUUUACGUAAUAAAAAUUACAACAAAAAUAUACUAUACUUUAGUGGUAGAGAUGGCGAGUUAAGACAUGAUCAACCUCGAAUAUAUUUGAUAAGAACGUUUGGCCAACCAUACAAGAAAGAGCAUGUAUAUACUCCAAUAAGUCAGCUUCAUCAAUUAUCAAAACAAUGUUGCUCUUACCUCACUUUGACACAUGAUAACUCCGGUUAAUACCUCUGGUAAUAACCAUAAGAGGAGAUCUCGAACUGUCUUCUUCCAACUCCAUCCUCAUAACCAUACGGAUACGAAUCCCCAAAAAGGUAGUCAGAAGUCGUCUUCCACGGAUCAGAAUCAGCGCUAUCCCAGCAAGUAACUUCAGCCGCACGAUUCUCAUCCUCUUGGCGUCUUUUGUUACGUAAGACACAAGGAAAGUAGCCUCCGAAUAUAACCUCGCAGAGAUCAGUCGCUUCUAACCCGUAACCGGAUGGAACAUACAGAGCUUUCACUUCAACUUUAUCUACUGUUUCAGGUUGCACGGUCCCAUUGCUUAAACUGUGAUCUUCUUCUUCUUCCUCUGCCUCUUCUUGAUGAUCAUUUUCUUCUUCUUUAAUGGUUUCUAAUGGUUUAGCUUCCUCUAACGGCUCAGAGAAAGUCACACGUUUCUUAACAGCUUUCUUUUCACCACCAUCAUAUAUUCCAAGAGGAACAGGAGCGAUGAUCUCCGGAGGAGAAGGAGGUGAAGCUUGACCAGCGGAUGAAGAAGGGUAACAAGUUUUCUCCGAUGGAGGAAGAGGUUUCCCGUAAGUUGCAACGAUAUCGUAGCCGCCACCGUACGGCGUCGGGUCGUACUCCUCGAACUCCGGCUCGUUGAAGCCUUGAACAUUGCGAUAGAUACUAAACUGAGAAGGAGACUCGUAUGUUGUUGUUGUGUAGUAACUCGGAUCAUAGAACAAAUGUUUCGGCUCAGACAUGGUGGAGACAGAGUAAACAACAGAUGCAGAGGUUGUUGUUUCAUACUCAUACUCAGAUCCAUUCCAGUUAUCAUAACUAUUGUAACUCAUUGGAUUGAAACCAAACUGGUGUUGUUGAUUGUUAUCAUAAUAGUUAUGAUCAUAGAGAUGAUUAACCUGGUUUGUAUCGUAUGGGAACUCGUAAUGCUCGUAGAAACUGCCCAUCUUGUAGUUUGAUUCUCUUGAGAGAUUGUUGUUUUGGUGAAAGCAGAAGAUUGAGUGGAGCACUGGUUAAAGUGAUUUGAAAGGUUUGGUUUAUAGUCCGUGUAACGUACUGUUUUCAUGUGAUGUGUUGAUAAGGUGGGCACGACUGAUGUAGAUGGUGACGAGUGUGUUGUGACCCUACAAAUAAAGUUGUCUGCAAGCAAUGUUCUUGUCUUGUCUUGAAGUGGUAUUGAGAAAACGUGGGGCAAACAAGCGGUGGACAAAGACAUUCCGACCAAACAUAUUAACCGGACUGAACCAUAACAAAACCAAACCUAAAUUAGUUCUAGAACGAAUAAAUUUUAACCAUAACCCAUACCAGCCAAGGAGCUUAACCAGCGGUAGAUGAAGUUCAAAUCUACAUAAACCAUACAAGAUUGUUCCAAACGAUGAUAAUACGGUAUCAUCACUGAUACUAGACGAUUUAACAUCCGGUUUAAAUAAGCUAGGGACUAAAACGAUCGAUCAAAAUCUCAUAAAUUUCGUUACUAAGGGACUUGUCUUAUCAAUAGUUCAAGAGGAAUCAGAAGCGGCUGGUUCUUGUCUUGGUUUCCUCUGCUGCUCAGGAGGUGGACCGUCUCUUUUCCUUUCGUACCUCUUGCUUUGAUACUUGGAGUUGUUGCGCUGCUGCUUUGGUUGGUAUGUUGGGUAUGUGCAGGGGAUGAUCUCUCCAUUGAUGUACUUGUCGCCUAAACAUAACAAAAUACCAUACAAAAAUCAAGAUACAGGAGAGAGAGAAAACUUGGAGACAGCACUAAUCAGGGUUAGAUGGGUUAGUACCUCCAUAGUCCUUGUUCUUGACAUCUAUGUAAGAGUCAGGCAAAACCCAGAGAACUCCAGGCAAACCUGUGGAAAUUUCAAAACUGAGCUGUUAGUGUCUUGGAGGUUUACAACGAUUACAAGCACACACAAUCAGUAAGAGGAUUAAAGCUAUAACUGAUCACUAACUCACCCUUGAACUUCUCAGAUGUUUCUUCAUCAAUGGUGCACUGGAAUCCAGUAUACGUGGUGGUACUGAAUGCAUACAUGUUCUUCUUUGCCUCUUCCAUGCUGGAGAACAGACACAAAUAUACACUCAACAAUCACAUGGAACGAAUUGGUUAUACUGGAAAACUGACACAAGUACACUAAUUGCUUACAACAGCAGCACGAUAGUGUAGAUAAGAUUCAAGUUCUCUACAAAAAACAGCCAGCAGCAACAAAUGAACUGAAGAUUCAAGUUCUCUACAAACUACAAAGACAGCCAGCAGUAACAAAAGAACCGAAGAUUCAUUUCACCACUCUAUCCAGGAAAUUCUACUCACGAGUCCAAAUCUAAAGUUUGAGUCUUUACUUGCUUAUAGUGUCCAGACUCCACCACAUCAACUUUUUAACAAAGAGACACCAUUUGACAACAUCUUCAAUUCAUACAUAGCUUGAAGAAAACGUGCAAAAACAGAAUCUUUCAAUUCUAAUAACACUAACUAGUGCCAGUUUGAAUGCUCCAAGUACACAUAUGAAGACAGUCUUUUAGCUUUCCAAAUCCAAAAGAAACAACCUUUUACUUCUACAAUGCAGAGUGGUCCAAGUUCAAGCACCUAAACAGACUCUACUCGGGUUCCAAAUCUCCAUACGACAGCGUUUUCAAAUUAAAUAAACUUGCUCACAAGCUAUAUCAGAAGCUCAAUAUGUUUGCACAUCUCUACCACAUCUCUAGCUAGAGAUUAAUAACUAUUGAGAAGAGAAAAAAACGAAACCUUCCAAGAACAGUCGCAAGAGUGUUGAGAUAAGUCUCAAUCAUCUGGUCCCUCGUUGGCGCCGGAUCCUUGGGGAACUCCAUAACAAUCAGCCAGUGGUUGUAGUCGCAUCCAGGAAGCAUUAUCGUCUCCCUCUGCUCAUUGCUACUGCUCCGUUUCGAUGAAUAAUCCGAAUCCACCGUCGCGGCCUUGACAAUCGCCACCCGACGGCGAGACUCCGCGGUGGAGAUGCUCCGGAGCAGAGGAUGAGUCCAUUUCCCGGAAAGGCGGAUGCUGGAGAGUGUGGGGAAGCGUGUUAGGUGGCUUACGGGAGGUAUGGUUUUGGGGAGUAACGAGGAGGAAGUUGUGAAGGAAGCCAUUCGCAGUUGCAGAAAGCGAGCAAGAGACUGUUCGAAAACACUUUGUCAACAGAUUGAUAGGGAUAAGGUUUUUUUGUUUACCUGCACUAUAAAACGGUACCGCAUUAUAAAAUAUAUUAUAGGUUCGUGGCCUCGUAGUAUUUGGGCCGAGCUAACGUUCAGCCCAUAUGAGUAUAAACUUAAUCCAAAUUUUUAACGACACUUAAUCCAGUUUAAUCAUGCUCUUAUUAUGCAGUUGCCAGUUAUGCGUUUUGAUGACUUUUUUUUUUUGAACGUUUCUUUCUGACAGCAAAAACAACUGAGAAUGAUAUGAAAGACGAAUUAAUUUUUGACAAACAACAAUUUUUCUCAUGAUUAUUUAAAUUUAUAGUAAUUUUUAUUUGAGAGUUUGCAUAAGUUUUCAAGUAUACAAGUACAAUGUUACAGUUACAGAAAAAAAAAAAACGACACCAACAUAUCAUUAUGGGAAACAUAUUUUACUAGACACUAGUAAUCUCUUAUUCGUUUAAUCAGAAAUGCCAAUAACACUCUUCUGUUGAUGAUGCAAUAUUGUUAGCCUUUCCUCUCCACACUAACAACUCUAGUGGUUUACAUUGCAUCAGUGCCUCUCAAAUUUUUAAAGAAAUCUAGGCUAACAAAAAAAAUUGAACCUUAGUAGCACAAUUUUUUAACGGCCAUGAAUGGUGGUGAGUGUGACGUCAUUAAUAGAAUUGCCGUUUUCUCCGCUGAGACAACCACCAGAGGAGCUGCCACCAUCUUGACUUUCUAUCCUCCUCCCCGUAGUAAAGGCCGGAUGCUUCGGAGAUGGAAGAUCAAUAGCGUUUUGCUCCAACAUGAACACAAUGGUAGACAUAUCUACUCUGUCUGAAGCGUUUUCUUGAACACAAAGCAAUCCAAUGUGUAUGCACUUGAUCACUUCCCUCUCAUCAUAACUCUUCACGUCCAUCAGUUUGUCUAUGAUCUCUGUAACUUCACCUUUCUUCCAUUGAUCCCAAAUCUAUACAAUAAGAAAAACAACAACAUUUGCUUAUGUUAUUGUUCUCUCUUAAACAAAAUGCAGUUUUAUUGUACUUACAUGUCCGAGUAGAUUCGAAUAUUCAUUGAAGCAACAGUUGUUUUUCUUUCCGGUAAUGAUCUCUAAAAUCAAUACUCCAAAGCUAUACACGUCAGAUUUUAUGGAGAACUGGCCAUCCAUUGCGUACUCCGGUGACAUAUAACCACUGAGCAAUGAGGUUGAAACCACUUUAAAGAUUGAAAAGAAGAAUGUUGUGUGGAUUGAGAGAGAGAGCUAACUCACUAUGUUCCAACGACCCGUUUCGUGCUUCCUUCAACCUGGUUGCCUCCAAAGAUCCUCGCCAUGCCAAAAUCUGAAAUCUUAGGGAUCAUUUCAUUGUCAAGAAGUACAUUGCUGGCCUUGAGGUCCCUGUGGAUGAUCCUCAGUCUUGAAUCAUGAUGAAGAUAGAGCACUCCACGAGCAACCCCUCGGAUUAUAUCUAUCCGUUGUGGCCAAUCCAGAAGUGCUCUAUGCUCUUCAUCUAGUAGAACACAUGUAAUGAAUUUUCAAAUUGAAUCACCUUAUAAAGUAUAUUAAAAAUAUUAUGAACGUACGGAAUAUGAAAUAGUCUAGACUCUUGUUCGGUAGAUACUCGUAUAUCAACAUCUUUUCUUCCAUUUCAACGCAACAUCCUAAGAUCCUCACGAGAUUCCGAUGCUGCAGCUUUGAUAUCAGCUUGACCUCGUUCUUGAACUCUACCAUUCCUUGGCCUGAGUUUGUUGACAACCUCUUCACAGCUAUCUCCAUACCAUUCUCCAACACGCCCUGAACAUAAACAAAACAACUUGUUACUAACCAUACCACUUAACUUGAGAUUAUGUUUUUGGCUCCUUCCUAAAUCCUAACCUUAUAAACGGAUCCGAAACCACCUGCUCCAAGCUUGUUAUGAAGAGAGAAGCUGUCUGUCGCUUCAGCGAUUGUGGUAAGCUCGAAGAGAGGUAACUCUCGGUUUCUCGCCUUGUCCUGAAGUUGUUCUUCAAAUCUGAGCGAGUCUCCAAAAUCGAUAUAACUAGGGGCGAAGGUCGUUGCAGAUCUUCUAUGCCUGUUUGACUCUGUGCUUGACCAUAGUUACUUGUGACACAAGAAACUAACUUAUGAGCUUAAAAGAUAUUUUACUUACUUUGCCGCUUCCUUACAAAACAGAACAACAUAACCGUUGCUAACAUGACAGCUGCAAUCAAACUGAUGAGAAUCCAAAUGAGUCUCCUCUUCCUUGAUGACCCAUGUCUGUUCCACCGUGCUGGAACAAGCAUUAAAGCAUUAGAGCAGAACUAGGCCUGCGGUUUAGUACCGAGCCGAACCGGAAUUUUCCUUUAAUUCGAUUACGAGUUCGGUUCAGUUCGGCAGGUUUAUAAAAGAACUAAAAGAACUUCGGUUUUUGGUUCGGUAACGGGGUUUUUCAAAAAAAAAUUGUUAAAAACAUUUGAACUGAACUAACCAAAAAUUUGAACCGAACUAACUAAAAUUAUCCGAAUUUAACCAAAUUUAUAGCUGAAAUAUAAUCGAAACUAAAAACGUCGGUUAGUUUCUAUAAAAAAAAUAUUAAAAACCAAACUACCCAAAUAUCAAACCAAACUUUUUUACUGUUCAAUUCGGCGAGAUUUUAGUCGAACCGAACUACCCAAACGCGCAGGCCUAAAGCAGCUUAGAACGGUUGUUUAGAGAAGCUACAGACAAGUUGCAGAGUAGAUAUAUGUGUACCUAGCUCUUCCUUGUCUACGCGUACAUACAAAUCUUGUCCUGAGCUCAAGUAAGUCCUCGUAUCCAACAUAUCACCGUGCCAUGUCAAACACCCUCUUGGUCCUCCUUCACUUUCAUAAUAACCACUUGCGUAAGCGACACAACUGCAGUUCCCUAAGCAUGUCUGUUUACAUUCCUUCAAUGUAACAUUCAUAUCCACACUGAGGCUAGUUCGGCUCUCGAUGAACUCCACCACAGACUCCGCGGUUCCAUCCACAUCUUCUUCCUCCAUCCUGCCUACAUGGCUGACUUAACAUUAUUAUGAACCUUCGGACAAUUUUUUAAAAAAAUAAAUAAAUGUUUUAAAUAUAUAUUUUGUUUUAAAAUUUUUAACAGUAAUAUUUUGUAAUGUAAGAAAAACUAUAUGCAUUAAAAAUGUUUUUAGGACUUUUUCAAUUCUAUUAUCAAUUUUAUUUUGAAAAAUUAUGUGGACAUGGUUAGGAUCAGGGCAGUCGCACUGUUUGUCCCCUAGUUGGCCGGCUCUUGGUACCUGUUUUGUCUUGUAGAUUCUCCAUCAAAGGGUCGACGAGGCAGAUUUGGGGGAGGAACUGGAUGCCGAAAAGGCCGAAAGCCUCUGAGUCCGAUGAUUCAUCGAUCUCGCAGAAGAACACCUUGUUGGCUACGUCAGAUCUGUUGUUGUUGUUGGCGAUGAAAGAGGCGGAGACGAAUGCGAAUUCUCUGCGGAACUCUUGGAGGGGGUUGCUGUUGAGAUCAAUGGAGUUGAAGAAGAUGAUGAGGGAGUAAGGUCGUGGUGUGGAUACGGAGGUUAUGAAUUUCGAAACGGUGUCGUCGGUGAGGCGGAUCACGCCGGAUUCGGAGGAUGAUCGGAGGGAAACGAGUUCUUUGGUGAGAUCUGGUUGCGAAACCGCGAGGAUCGAUAGUAGUGAUAUUGAGAGGAAGAAACGAUGUGGGAGAGUUGUGUGGUCUGCCAUUUUUGAUCUCUUUGAUUGGAUUCGAGAAAGGAAAAUGAGAAUAGAUCCGAGGGAGAUGGAGUUUGGCGGAAGAGACUGGAGAAGUGAAGAAAUGUUCAAAAGUAAGGGUUUAUAUACUGGUGAAAAGGUAAACCUGCUGCGUAAGCUAGAGGGUUCAGUUUAGUGAAAUAACAAAAAAUUUUGACGGCUGUGGGAUUUGAACCCACGCCCUUUCGGACCAGAGCCUAAAUCUGGCGCCUUAGACCACUCGGCCAAACCGUCUUGUUGAUAGUAACCUAUUACAUAUCUAUUCAUAACUAUAAAACUAAUAUUAAACUCAUUUAGUGACUUCUCGGUCAGAAUUAGAGAAAUCAGAUAUGAGAGAAACCAUCUAUUGGAGCAGAAGCUUUAAAAGAUUGAUUCGAUUGAAUAUAAAGUCAAGAGAACACUGCCAGAGUUGGAAUUGUCCACAAAAUAAAAAAAACGCUAUGAAGGAGGAUGAAGACUAAUGCAAGACUAUUCUUACUUAGGUUUCACUUUGUACAACCAUAUGCUUCAUUUUGUGUUUGAUGGAAAAAUCAUGAAACUAUGAGAGUACUGAAAGAUUAAUUGCUCCAAAGGAAAACACUGAAUCACACAGAGAGUCACCGACAUACAUAUGACAAAAUCACUAGCGUCUUCCAAAACCCCAUAAUAUUCAGAUUGUUUCAAGUUUCUACACCAAAACACAGAGAGUUUUCAUACAUAUUAAGUUUUGAAUCCUCUUUCAGCAGAUUUGCAUCCUCCUCUUAACUGUUGUCUGAUUUUUCCAAAGCUGCAAAGUGAUAAAAUGCGUUUUGAGUUAUAAAAUCCAACAUGAAAGAAAGCCAAAAGAAACACAAAGAUAUAUAGAGAGUUUGGAGAGUGUACUGUUGUAGUUGAGAAGCUUCUCAAUCAGAUCAACAUGCGUCAUUAGCAUACGCCUGCAGCAGUAUCUAACUAAGUUGAGUGCAUCAAGUGCGUCCCUGCAAAAAGUAAUAACACAGGUAAAGUAUAAACAAACUAAACAAGAUAGACGCAACACUCUCUUCCAACAACAUAUAAAUAUAACCAGCAGAGCUCAGAUCAUUAGCUACAGCCUUAAACCAUCAACUCUUCAUUGAUUGUUUCUCCACAAACGAAAUGUUGUUAAACCAAUCACAUCACAAGACAAAAUAGUCUCUUCUAACAACAUGUAAAAAAAAACAGUCUUAAACCAUCAACCCUUCAUUAAUUUGUUCCUCCACUAACGAAAUGGUGUUAACUAAUCAAAUAUAUCUAUCACGUAUUAUCUUCCAACAGAAAUCACAGACCAGGUGGUUAAUUUCUCUAAUAUACAAACAAAAGUUCUAUAAUUUGCACAGAGUCUGAUCAGUCAAACAUGUACGCACAAGCAUAAUCAAAGCCAACAAGUUUUACUUAUAUAGCAAAAGUAUGGUCUAAACAUAAACAUGAUGAACAUAAACAGAAGUUUGUUCUAAGCUUAAUACAUUACCAAACAAAUAUCUUCCAUUACUUCGUUUUCUCAAUUAGAUAAGUGGUGUUAACUAAUCUCAUACUUGAGCUAAUUCCCUCUCAAAUUCAAAUAAAGUAUGCUCUUUUAAACUAGUUACGAGAAGAAUCAUGUAGUUUACCCUUCAGUGUAGUCAAGCUGGAGAAGAUCAAGAUACGCAUCCCACUUGUUUCCAAUCACCUGACAAAACCACAAGAGUGAAAGCUUCGUAAAGCUCGAAACUUUAUCUCUCGAAACGAUUUUAUCUAAUCGAUUCAGACCGUAGUUAUCCGAUAAAACAUUCAUCGAGCAGGUAAGAUAAUCUCUUCUUUUGUCGAAUUUUAGAGUAGCUAAAACCCUAGAAAGAAGUAAGAUUUUGAAUCGCCCGAUUUAGCAAAGCCGAGGAAGUGAAACGAACCUUUCCGCAUGUAAAGCACCGUACAGGGAUAAUCAUCUUCUCGAGCUAAGAACUGUGUGAAUCUGUAGACUUGUGUUGGGUCUGCCUCUCUUCUCGAUUUGGGGUUUUAGGGUUUUCUGCUUCGCGCUUCCUUUAAUAAGGUGAAGAACACAAAAGGGACGGCUUCUCGAAACGUUGUCGUUUCGUGUGAUAUUUGAUUGCUGGGUGACUAAAAUUGGGUCCGGUUUGAUUUGAUUUACUUAAAUUUAUUCGGUUUUAAAGCCGGUUUAGUUAGACAGUUUAUUUCCUCUGAUUGUUCCUUGUGUCCCCAUCAUAUCAUUAUUCACCAACAACUUGAACUACUAUUACUCUACACCACCAACAAAGAUUAACAUCUUAAGGUUAAAAACCAAAUUAAAACUGACGUUUUCAGUUAGAACAUUACAUUCUUGUGGAUCAACCUCUUAAGGUAAGAAGAAAAAGAACUGGCAUUCCAAGUUUACUGCAAAAGAUAUUUUUAUACUAAAGGAGAUUUAAGAACUUUUUGCUUCCUUGAACCAUCUGUUAAAGUAUAUAUGUUUUGAUUGAUAUGGGCUCAUCUUAAAAAACAAGACUAUAAAACUCUUAUAAUAAUUUACGUAAUAAAAAUUACAACAAAAAUAUACUAUACUUUAGUGGUAGAGAUGGCGAGUUAAGACAUGAUCAACCUCGAAUAUAUUUGAUAAGAACGUUUGGCCAACCAUACAAGAAAGAGCAUGUAUAUACUCCAAUAAGUCAGCUUCAUCAAUUAUCAAAACAAUGUUGCUCUUACCUCACUUUGACACAUGAUAACUCCGGUUAAUACCUCUGGUAAUAACCAUAAGAGGAGAUCUCGAACUGUCUUCUUCCAACUCCAUCCUCAUAACCAUACGGAUACGAAUCCCCAAAAAGGUAGUCAGAAGUCGUCUUCCACGGAUCAGAAUCAGCGCUAUCCCAGCAAGUAACUUCAGCCGCACGAUUCUCAUCCUCUUGGCGUCUUUUGUUACGUAAGACACAAGGAAAGUAGCCUCCGAAUAUAACCUCGCAGAGAUCAGUCGCUUCUAACCCGUAACCGGAUGGAACAUACAGAGCUUUCACUUCAACUUUAUCUACUGUUUCAGGUUGCACGGUCCCAUUGCUUAAACUGUGAUCUUCUUCUUCUUCCUCUGCCUCUUCUUGAUGAUCAUUUUCUUCUUCUUUAAUGGUUUCUAAUGGUUUAGCUUCCUCUAACGGCUCAGAGAAAGUCACACGUUUCUUAACAGCUUUCUUUUCACCACCAUCAUAUAUUCCAAGAGGAACAGGAGCGAUGAUCUCCGGAGGAGAAGGAGGUGAAGCUUGACCAGCGGAUGAAGAAGGGUAACAAGUUUUCUCCGAUGGAGGAAGAGGUUUCCCGUAAGUUGCAACGAUAUCGUAGCCGCCACCGUACGGCGUCGGGUCGUACUCUUCGAACUCCGGCUCGUUGAAGCCUUGAACAUUGCGAUAGAUACUAAACUGAGAAGGAGACUCGUAUGUUGUUGUUGUGUAGUAACUCGGAUCAUAGAACAAAUGUUUCGGCUCAGACAUGGUGGAGACAGAGUAAACAACAGAUGCAGAGGUUGUUGUUUCAUACUCAUACUCAGAUCCAUUCCAGUUAUCAUAACUAUUGUAACUCAUUGGAUUGAAACCAAACUGGUGUUGUUGAUUGUUAUCAUAAUAGUUAUGAUCAUAGAGAUGAUUAACCUGGUUUGUAUCGUAUGGGAACUCGUAAUGCUCGUAGAAACUGCCCAUCUUGUAGUUUGAUUCUCUUGAGAGAUUGUUGUUUUGGUGAAAGCAGAAGAUUGAGUGGAGCACUGGUUAAAGUGAUUUGAAAGGUUUGGUUUAUAGUCCGUGUAACGUACUGUUUUCAUGUGAUGUGUUGAUAAGGUGGGCACGACUGAUGUAGAUGGUGACGAGUGUGUUGUGACCCUACAAAUAAAGUUGUCUGCAAGCAAUGUUCUUGUCUUGUCUUGAAGUGGUAUUGAGAAAACGUGGGGCAAACAAGCGGUGGACAAAGACAUUCCGACCAAACAUAUUAACCGGACUGAACCAUAACAAAACCAAACCUAAAUUAGUUCUAGAACGAAUAAAUUUUAACCAUAACCCAUACCAGCCAAGGAGCUUAACCAGCGGUAGAUGAAGUUCAAAUCUACAUAAACCAUACAAGAUUGUUCCAAACGAUGAUAAUACGGUAUCAUCACUGAUACUAGACGAUUUAACAUCCGGUUUAAAUAAGCUAGGGACUAAAACGAUCGAUCAAAAUCUCAUAAAUUUCGUUACUAAGGGACUUGUCUUAUCAAUAGUUCAAGAGGAAUCAGAAGCGGCUGGUUCUUGUCUUGGUUUCCUCUGCUGCUCAGGAGGUGGACCGUCUCUUUUUCUUUCGUACCUCUUGCUUUGAUACUUGGAGUUGUUGCGCUGCUGCUUUGGUUGGUAUGUUGGGUAUGUGCAGGGGAUGAUCUCUCCAUUGAUGUACUUGUCGCCUAAACAUAACAAAAUACCAUACAAAUAUCAAGAUACAGGAGAGAGAGAAAACUUGGAGACAGCACUAAUCAGGGUUAGAUGGGUUAGUACCUCCAUAGUCCUUGUUCUUGACAUCUAUGUAAGAGUCAGGCAAAACCCAGAGAACUCCAGGCAAACCUGUGGAAAUUUCAAAACUGAGCUGUUAGUGUCUUGGAGGUUUACAACGAUUACAAGCACACACAAUCAGUAAGAGGAUUAAAGCUAUAACUGAUCACUAACUCACCCUUGAACUUCUCAGAUGUUUCUUCAUCAAUGGUGCACUGGAAUCCAGUAUACGUGGUGGUACUGAAUGCAUACAUGUUCUUCUUUGCCUCUUCCAUGCUGGAGAACAGACACAAAUAUACACUCAACAAUCACAUGGAACGAAUUGGUUAUACUGGAAAACUGACACAAGUACACUAAUUGCUUACAACAGCAGCACGAUAGUGUAGAUAAGAUUCAAGUUCUCUACAAAAAACAGCCAGCAGCAACAAAUGAACUGAAGAUUCAAGUUCUCUACAAACUACAAAGACAGCCAGCAGUAACAAAAGAACCGAAGAUUCAUUUCACCACUCUAUCCAGGAAAUUCUACUCACGAGUCCAAAUCUAAAGUUUGAGUCUUUACUUGCUUAUAGUGUCCAGACUCCACCACAUCAACUUUUUAACAAAGAGACACCAUUUGACAACAUCUUCAAUUCAUACAUAGCUUGAAGAAAACGUGCAAAAACAGAAUCUUUCAAUUCUAAUAACACUAACUAGUGCCAGUUUGAAUGCUCCAAGUACACAUAUGAAGACAGUCUUUUAGCUUUCCAAAUCCAAAAGAAACAACCUUUUACUUCUACAAUGCAGAGUGGUCCAAGUUCAAGCACCUAAACAGACUCUACUCGGGUUCCAAAUCUCCAUACGACAGCGUUUUCAAAUUAAAUAAACUUGCUCACAAGCUAUAUCAGAAGCUCAAUAUGUUUGCACAUCUCUACCACAUCUCUAGCUAGAGAUUAAUAACUAUUGAGAAGAGAAAAAAACGAAACCUUCCAAGAACAGUCGCAAGAGUGUUGAGAUAAGUCUCAAUCAUCUGGUCCCUCGUUGGCGCCGGAUCCUUGGGGAACUCCAUAACAAUCAGCCAGUGGUUGUAGUCGCAUCCAGGAAGCAUUAUCGUCUCCCUCUGCUCAUUGCUACUGCUCCGUUUCGAUGAAUAAUCCGAAUCCACCGUCGCGGCCUUGACAAUCGCCACCCGACGGCGAGACUCCGCGGUGGAGAUGCUCCGGAGCAGAGGAUGAGUCCAUUUCCCGGAAAGGCGGAUGCUGGAGAGUGUGGGGAAGCGUGUUAGGUGGCUUACGGGAGGUAUGGUUUUGGGGAGUAACGAGGAGGAAGUUGUGAAGGAAGCCAUUCGCAGUUGCAGAAAGCGAGCAAGAGACUGUUCGAAAACACUUUGUCAACAGAUUGAUAGGGAUAAGGUUUUUUUGUUUACCUGCACUAUAAAACGGUACCGCAUUAUAAAAUAUAUUAUAGGUUCGUGGCCUCGUAGUAUUUGGGCCGAGCUAACGUUCAGCCCAUAUGAGUAUAAACUUAAUCCAAAUUUUUAACGACACUUAAUCCAGUUUAAUCAUGCUCUUAUUAUGCAGUUGCCAGUUAUGCGUUUUGAUGACUUUUUUUUUUUGAACGUUUCUUUCUGACAGCAAAAACAACUGAGAAUGAUAUGAAAGACGAAUUAAUUUUUGACAAACAACAAUUUUUCUCAUGAUUAUUUAAAUUUAUAGUAAUUUUUAUUUGAGAGUUUGCAUAAGUUUUCAAGUAUACAAGUACAAUGUUACAGUUACAGAAAAAAAAAAAACGACACCAACAUAUCAUUAUGGGAAACAUAUUUUACUAGACACUAGUAAUCUCUUAUUCGUUUAAUCAGAAAUGCCAAUAACACUCUUCUGUUGAUGAUGCAAUAUUGUUAGCCUUUCCUCUCCACACUAACAACUCUAGUGGUUUACAUUGCAUCAGUGCCUCUCAAAUUUUUAAAGAAAUCUAGGCUAACAAAAAAAAUUGAACCUUAGUAGCACAAUUUUUUAACGGCCAUGAAUGGUGGUGAGUGUGACGUCAUUAAUAGAAUUGCCGUUUUCUCCGCUGAGACAACCACCAGAGGAGCUGCCACCAUCUUGACUUUCUAUCCUCCUCCCCGUAGUAAAGGCCGGAUGCUUCGGAGAUGGAAGAUCAAUAGCGUUUUGCUCCAACAUGAACACAAUGGUAGACAUAUCUACUCUGUCUGAAGCGUUUUCUUGAACACAAAGCAAUCCAAUGUGUAUGCACUUGAUCACUUCCCUCUCAUCAUAACUCUUCACGUCCAUCAGUUUGUCUAUGAUCUCUGUAACUUCACCUUUCUUCCAUUGAUCCCAAAUCUAUACAAUAAGAAAAACAACAACAUUUGCUUAUGUUAUUGUUCUCUCUUAAACAAAAUGCAGUUUUAUUGUACUUACAUGUCCGAGUAGAUUCGAAUAUUCAUUGAAGCAACAGUUGUUUUUCUUUCCGGUAAUGAUCUCUAAAAUCAAUACUCCAAAGCUAUACACGUCAGAUUUUAUGGAGAACUGGCCAUCCAUUGCGUACUCCGGUGACAUAUAACCACUGAGCAAUGAGGUUGAAACCACUUUAAAGAUUGAAAAGAAGAAUGUUGUGUGGAUUGAGAGAGAGAGCUAACUCACUAUGUUCCAACGACCCGUUUCGUGCUUCCUUCAACCUGGUUGCCUCCAAAGAUCCUCGCCAUGCCAAAAUCUGAAAUCUUAGGGAUCAUUUCAUUGUCAAGAAGUACAUUGCUGGCCUUGAGGUCCCUGUGGAUGAUCCUCAGUCUUGAAUCAUGAUGAAGAUAGAGCACUCCACGAGCAACCCCUCGGAUUAUAUCUAUCCGUUGUGGCCAAUCCAGAAGUGCUCUAUGCUCUUCAUCUAGUAGAACACAUGUAAUGAAUUUUCAAAUUGAAUCACCUUAUAAAGUAUAUUAAAAAUAUUAUGAACGUACGGAAUAUGAAAUAGUCUAGACUCUUGUUCGGUAGAUACUCGUAUAUCAACAUCUUUUCUUCCAUUUCAACGCAACAUCCUAAGAUCCUCACGAGAUUCCGAUGCUGCAGCUUUGAUAUCAGCUUGACCUCGUUCUUGAACUCUACCAUUCCUUGGCCUGAGUUUGUUGACAACCUCUUCACAGCUAUCUCCAUACCAUUCUCCAACACGCCCUGAACAUAAACAAAACAACUUGUUACUAACCAUACCACUUAACUUGAGAUUAUGUUUUUGGCUCCUUCCUAAAUCCUAACCUUAUAAACGGAUCCGAAACCACCUGCUCCAAGCUUGUUAUGAAGAGAGAAGCUGUCUGUCGCUUCAGCGAUUGUGGUAAGCUCGAAGAGAGGUAACUCUCGGUUUCUCGCCUUGUCCUGAAGUUGUUCUUCAAAUCUGAGCGAGUCUCCAAAAUCGAUAUAACUAGGGGCGAAGGUCGUUGCAGAUCUUCUAUGCCUGUUUGACUCUGUGCUUGACCAUAGUUACUUGUGACACAAGAAACUAACUUAUGAGCUUAAAAGAUAUUUUACUUACUUUGCCGCUUCCUUACAAAACAGAACAACAUAACCGUUGCUAACAUGACAGCUGCAAUCAAACUGAUGAGAAUCCAAAUGAGUCUCCUCUUCCUUGAUGACCCAUGUCUGUUCCACCGUGCUGGAACAAGCAUUAAAGCAUUAGAGCAGAACUAGGCCUGCGGUUUAGUACCGAGCCGAACCGGAAUUUUCCUUUAAUUCGAUUACGAGUUCGGUUCAGUUCGGCAGGUUUAUAAAAGAACUAAAAGAACUUCGGUUUUUGGUUCGGUAACGGGGUUUUUCAAAAAAAAAUUGUUAAAAACAUUUGAACUGAACUAACCAAAAAUUUGAACCGAACUAACUAAAAUUAUCCGAAUUUAACCAAAUUUAUAGCUGAAAUAUAAUCGAAACUAAAAACGUCGGUUAGUUUCUAUAAAAAAAAUAUUAAAAACCAAACUACCCAAAUAUCAAACCAAACUUUUUUACUGUUCAAUUCGGCGAGAUUUUAGUCGAACCGAACUACCCAAACGCGCAGGCCUAAAGCAGCUUAGAACGGUUGUUUAGAGAAGCUACAGACAAGUUGCAGAGUAGAUAUAUGUGUACCUAGCUCUUCCUUGUCUACGCGUACAUACAAAUCUUGUCCUGAGCUCAAGUAAGUCCUCGUAUCCAACAUAUCACCGUGCCAUGUCAAACACCCUCUUGGUCCUCCUUCACUUUCAUAAUAACCACUUGCGUAAGCGACACAACUGCAGUUCCCUAAGCAUGUCUGUUUACAUUCCUUCAAUGUAACAUUCAUAUCCACACUUGCACCUGAUGUAUCUGGAAUCUUCACACGCUCCAACUUCACAAAAACUUCUCUCCCACGGCACGUUAAACCUCUAUCAUCUCUCCUCGUGCACCCACCCGAAGGAUCUCUCGAGUUCCAAUCCUCAGGCGUCUUGGGUUCGUAACCAGGUAAGCAUCUGCACUCCAACGUGUCUCUACUCAAAGGAUCACAGUAACCGUUAGGUCCACAAUAAGCGUACCCGUCGCACUGCUCUUGAGGGUUAGGUCUUAACCCUAUCCACCUCUUCUCCCUUGCGUUCCACGUAAACCGUUGCAAGCUUCCCACGUCUCUCAUCACCACUCUUGUUAUCACUGAAGUGUCCAACACGCCGUAAGUGUUGGACACUUCGUCUUGAUUGUUCACAAAGGAGAUGUUGAAGAUGGACUUUAGUGUCUUCUCAGGGACACCGCUCCAUCUCUGUCCUGUCCAUGAACCUCCACGCCACAAUGGUGUCACACCGUUGUACAUCAUUGUUUGUGGAAACGCUCCACGUUCCAAACGGAGCGUAUAGUUUCCAAGACCAGGGUCUUGAGGUGAUCUCCAUGAUGUUAGAAACCGAUCCAAACCGUCUUGUCUAGUGAAGCCAAGUCUCAUGAACGGAACAAAAGUGUCUGUAGGAUGAUCAAAGCUCUCCCAGAGAGUUCUCCCAGUGAGAGGAUCAAGUACAACGAGGUUGCCUAUGUCAGAGAGUCUCGCCAUUGGCUCAGAGAUCUUAUCUGAGACAUUAGUCGACCAUAGAAGCUCAGUCUCAUCGGCUGAUGCAUAUAAGCAGAGGUUCCCUCUGCCGCUGAACACUACCAGACCUGACGUGUCAUUAACCGGACGUUCUCUAUUUGCAACCCAUAUAACAGUCUGCUCAGAGAUCUGAGCAUACCAGAUACCUACAUAACGAAGGUUAGAGUCCUCCCCAGGGGUGAAGAAUCCAAAAGCAAACCUCUUGCCUUCGGAGAAUAUUACAUCACCGUCUCUCAAGGACUGUCUUCUCAUGAUUGUGUCAUUGGCUCCGAUACAAGAUCCAAGGAGGAGGGAGAAGAUGAAGAAGAGUUUCAUUUUCUGUGUGUUGUGUCUGUUCAGAGCUUGAUGCAAGUUAUAAAUGCUUAGUGUCUCCUAUUAAAAGCUAAGUGGGUCUCACCUGAACUAACUAGCAAACAUCUUAGGUUGAACUUUCAAAAGAUGUAGCAACAGAUUCAUGUGUCACAUAAAUGAUGCACUAACUAAAUAAGACACCAACAAUAAUCACUUAGUACAAUCUUUCUCUCUUUCACUAAAUAGCCUCUCUGCCCAGUUUUUUUUUUGGAACACUUAUAUUAAUUGAAAGAGAAAGAUUAGUUGGGAGCAAUAACAGCAUUCCCAACCAACAAAGGUUCAGCUACAUUUAAAGCUCUCUUUGCCAACAUAUCGGCUUCAACAUUCCUCUCACGAGGAAUCCACACAAAAGCAACAGAAACAAAUCUGCGAGACAGUUCAGCGAUGUCUGCAACGAUACUAUGCAUCUCUGCAAUGGAAACACCCUGAUUGAGGCAAUUAACUAGAAGGGAAGAGUCCGACUCAAAUCUGAGGUUAUGGAGCUCCAGGUCUUGGCAUCUAAGCAUAACUUCCCGCAGCGCUAAUCCUUCGGCCAUUAGGGGCGAUGCAAUAAACUCCAUCUUCACCUGGAUCUCCCUAUUGCGAGGAGGGAGAUGAAUGAUUCCACCAAUACCUGCAAUCUUCCUUGUUGAGCACCACGCUGCAUCUGUCUGAAUCCUCGUCGUUCCGCUUAACACUGGUACCUCUAUCAGUCGAUGUUUCUUGCCUUCAGUCUUCUCCGGUUUUCCACUUAUGCUCCAUUCACGAGCCAAACGGAUUGCAGAGGAUAGAGUAUCCUCGGGAGAGGCAGAGAUACCUUCAAAUACGAAUCUGUUUCUUGCUUUCCAAAUGUUCCAAAUGAUCCAUGGGACCAGAUUACCCGAAGCUAUGCCGGUUGGUGGUAAGGCUUUUAGAUUGCUCAGUGCGGGCCAGUCGGCCAUUAAAUCUAUCAUUCCUCUAAAAUCCGGGGCAGUUGCAAGGGGAGCAAGAUGCCACACCCGCUGUGCAAACUGACAGUGGAAGAGGAUCCCUACAAUAAUAAAUACUUAUGUUUUAUGAUAUUUGGAAACUUAUACGUAAACUUACCAAAAAACAAAACUUACAAAACAAAAGUCACUUUCAAGCUAGUGAGGUAAGCUAAAUCACUUUCAACAUGUUUAGAAAAACUAUCCAAAUUUUGAGAGUAUGCAGUAAUACACUAAAAAACCCAAAAUGUUUUUUUUUUCUGUUUAAUUGAUUCAUGUAUUUAGUUGCAAACCAAACACCAACACACAAAGUAGAAUCAAUUCCCCUGAGAAUUUAGGCAUUGAGCCAAGUCCAUUAACAAGAUUUCUGAUAAAACCUCAAAGAACAGCACUCCUUUUCAUAUUCAUACAAAUUUCGAUUGGUUCUUCCCACAAUUUUCAUGAGAAAAGCUACAACAACCUGUCUGAAAGCUAGAAAAUCCAUGUCAGAUGCUGCAGAGUGCUAAGCCUCCUUAUCCUCCAAAGCCUUGAGUUCUUGCCUCCAUUCCUCUAACUUAGAGAACUUCUCCAACUGCUCCGGCUUUAAGUCUUUGGGAGCAGUCUUCUGCUGUUGAGCUUCUGUGAGUCGGAUCUGCAAAUGUUUAACAGAAGAUUAGAAACUAAACAAUUACAUCAAUGAGAGGAGACUUUAUCUUACUUUCUUCUUAAGUGCACGUAUUCUCUUCUCGGUGUCAUCUCCUGCAGUUCCUGGAUUGUGUGCUUCACCAAGGUUCAAAGCCUCCAAACUAGAAACCAAUACAUCCACUGAUUGUGGUCCGUUGCUUGAAGUGACAAUGGGAACAGCCUCUUCCUUGUCUACAUUACUUGAUCCAUCCUCAGAGCUGUUACCUUUUUCCACAGCAGCCUGCACGAAUGAGAGUUUUGAAGCAUGUUCCAAUAAAGCUAGUAGUUUACAGAUGGAUAGAGUUGAGAGACACAUACCUGUAAUCUCUUCUCUUUCUUACGUUCGUUUCUCUUAGCAGCUUUAGUCUUUGCUUUAGGAGUUGGAUCAGGCUCAUAACCUGGAGGUCCUUGUGAGGCCAUCUCCUUCUUCAUCUAUUGCAAAGAUACAAGAGUGGGUUCAAACGAUUCAGUUCCACGAGAAACAACGAAUCCAAGAACAGAAUAGAGAGUGUUGAGGGAAUAAAGACAACACACCAAAGAGCCUUUGGAUUGAUAGAUGACAACUUCAUCUUCUGGAACAUGUCCAGCUCGAAUCCGGAUGGGUUUCCGGAGAGUGCCAUCAGGUCUACGUGUAGGCUCCAGGAUCCUCUCACCUUCUUUAAGGUUUUUGCUAAGUUCCGCCAUUUGCUUUCUUUGUUCUCCGCUUCUAUUGCUGCUUCCCAUCUGAUUCCUUCAGAUUUUUUCAGUACCCUUGUCACUUUUCUUCUUUCCUCAGCUUUAAAUUAUCUACUCUCUGCACCAAAUUUUCAGGGAUCAUUAAAAAAAAAAACUCAUGGACUCGAAUAUUUACACAGAAAACAAAUCAAGUUUUGGUUAACAGUUAGUUGCAUACAACACUUUUGUGAAAGAAGCCAAACGUACAGAAGUAUAGUUCAUAUAUGUAAGCUGGGAAUCAUGAGUUGUGUACUAGCAGUGUGUAUACAAAGUUAUAGCAGAUACACAGAACUAAGUAGCAGAUCAUCUAUUCAACAAUCAAAAUUCAACUCUAUUUGAUGAAGGGUAGCUAGCAAAGGACAAACACACCUCAACCCUAAUGCAAUACCAGUUAAUAACUCAAAUCAUCAAAAAAACUCAUAAUUUCACAACGUAAAUAGGCAGAAGCUGCAAGCAUAAGCAACCACACAAACAACCAGUGACUAACUGCUUUCAAAAUUCAUGCAAUCAAAAGUUAAGAAAGCUAAUCAAGAGACUAAUUACUCAGUUCAAUAGCUCAACACUAA
rnacentral:lncRNA from 1 species